rnacentral:lncRNA from 1 species
GCCUAUGACCUAUAUAAGGGGGCACAUUAUCCAUUUCCAUAACCGAUCGUGGAAUUCAACAGUUUCAAUUCAAAACUAAGACCUUUUUGAUACAUUCCCAAGGUUUUACAACUAGGAUAAAGGAUGAUGGAUACAUAAUUGGAGUCUCUAAUUUCUAAGUAAAAUAUAUAAUUUAUCUUUAAAUUUUAACUAAAAAGUCAGUUGACACCUUGAUCUUUUCGUUAUUAACUUUUACCGCCUAAUCUUUAUAAAAGUGUAACUAUUUAACACUACUUAGAGUUAAAUAUUUAUAUUUUAUAAAGUCUAUGCACUAAAUAGUUAUACUCUAAGUUUUAAGUGCUAAAAAUAAUUUUUGUGUAAAGAUCAGAUGCUAAAUUAUGUAUUCAGUAUAAUUGCUAGCAUUGCAACGAUGGAUUCCUUCUUCAUUAGAAUUGAUCUUGAUAACUGGAAGAACAAAUCCAAAUGGCUCUUCCCAUGCAGUCCUCAUAUCAGCUCUUACAUUAUCUAGAAGCAAGGGCCAAAUGAGGUAAACCCAUUCCGGGCAAAAGGUUGCUCCUUUCUCUUUGGCAUCCAUGACAAGUCCUUCAAUGAAAUUCGAAGAUGAUUCUGUAACCACUGGAGUGAUGUUACAGUCAUCCUCUGGCUGCCCAACUCUCAGCUUUACAACUCCUGCAUUCAUUUUUCCUACUAGAGCACCACCAGCUAUAGAUUCCAUCACCACCACCACCUUAAUGGUUAUGUAUCUUCGGCCACCGUAUAAAAAGCCUCCUUUGAUAAUGUUUGCUGCAACCAAAUCAAGAUCAAUAUCCUCCAGCACAAUGCAGACAUCUUUUCCACCCAACUCCAUCUGAAGAGGGAUCAUUCCUGCCUUCUUGGAAAUUGCAAUGCCAGUGUCUUCGCCAGUGAAACUAAUUAAUGAUCGUCCAACACAAAAAUAUAGCUAUUAUAUUUUUAUGGUUUAGUCAAUAGUUUUGAAAUUAUUACCUUAAUUUAAGAGCAGUUUAAAAUUGUCACAAAAAAUUUUUAAUUAUUUUUAUUAUAUAUAAUAAUAUAUUUUAAUAAAAUAGUUAUUUUAUAUGUAAAAAAUUAUAAUUUUAUAAUAUUUUUUAUUCAUCCUGAAAAUUAAGUAAAUUACUGUGUUAUGAUACCAAAAGAUGUAAUGUUCUACCACUAAUUAAUUAUUUUAUUAAUUUUAACUGUUAAAUAUUUUAUUUUUUUUAAUUUAUAAAAUGUGUAUUAUUUAGUCUAUUUGUAUUAAGUGUAUUUUAAUUUUUUCUAUAAUACUUAACUAUUAAAAUUAAUAGGGAGAUUAACUAGUAAAAUUUUUUAAAUUUUAAUGAUAUUUUAAUAUAAUUUUUAAAAUAAAAAAAUAAUUAAUAAUUUUUUUUUAUAUAACUGAAAUCAAAUAGUAAUUUUUCUUUUUAAGUAUUUGUAAGUUUUUCUAACCAAAUAAAAUAAAUUUGAUUGCUGGAGAAGUUUGGAAGGAACUCCAAAUUUGUCAAAUAGAUUAAUCUUGGUUCACCUUAAAAAUAAAUAAACGUUAAAAGACCACAAAGAUAUCACUUAAAAUUAAUUAACAUUAUAUAAUUUAAGGCUAUUUGAUAAAAAAAAAACCAAAUAUUUGUAUUAAUUUAUAUUUAUAUUCAAAAUUUUUAAUUUUAAAUAAUAAAAUAAAAAAUUUUCAAUUUAUCACUAUAACCAAAUGAUUAAAUUGAAUUUUGAGAAAUUAAUAAUAAUUUAUAAUAUAAUUUUUAAAGUUUUAUUUAACUAAAUAAAAUAAUUUUUAAAAUAAAUAUUUAUAUUCAACAAUUUUUUUUUAUUAAUCUCAUUAUUUAUCCCUUAUUUUCAUUUAUAUACUUUAAUAAUUGACUAAAAAAUUAAUAUUUACUAUUAUUUUAUAUUUUAAUUUAAAUAUUUAAAUUUUAAAUUAACUAACUCAAUAUUUAUAUUUAGGAGUAAUUUUUAUUAUUUAUUAAAAAUUAAAAUAUAAUAGUGGAUGAUAUGCUCUUUUCCAACGUGCAGUUCUAGCCCAGGCUUUCUGUGCACUUUUGGCUGUGUGUCAAAAAAGAUGACAAAAUCAGUUAACAGGUACUUAUCCUACAAAAGAAUUAAAAGAAAAUGUCUAUAUAUUUAUACUCUCAAAAAAUUUAAAUAAAAAAACUAAUAGAUUAAAUCUUGAACUAAUUGUCCGAACUUUACCUUUAAGUGAUAUUUAGUCAAUUAGAGUUUGAUUUGUAUAUCUUUCCCUUUCACGUGUAAUUUUUUUAAUUAUAAUAUAUUUAUCACGAAAUUAAGUCUUAAAUUUAUUCUAACGUAUUUACGAUUGGACUAAAUCUGUGAGUGCAGUUUUAGUUAUAUCUUUAAUAUAAUAUGUGAAAAUAAAUUUCAUCUUAUUCAAGUUAAUUACACUCAUAUAUCCUAUUAUAGGCCCAUAUUUUAAAUAUACCCAAUUUUUUAUCUCAUUCAGACCAUCUCCAAUCCUAUGCACCAUUUUUUGCACUAUUUUAAUAUUUUGCACCAAAAUAGUGCAGUAUCAUCUCCAACAUUUUGUACCAUUUUUAACAUAAAAAAAAAUAUUCUAUUUAUAUUCUUCUUUUUCUUUAAUAUUAUAUUAUUUAUUUUACUUUAAUUUUAUUUAUAUAUUUCACUCAAAAAAUUCAUAUAAUUUUAUAUAUUCACUCUAAAUAUUUAUAUAUUUUAUAUUUUCAUCCAAUAUUUAAAUAUUUAAUUAUUAUAUAAAUAAACAAAUAAAAAUAUAUUAAUUAUAAAAAUGUAUUCAUUAAAUAAUAAUUAUAAAAAACAUUACUUAAACAUUAAUUACAAACAUAUAAUAUUCUAUAUAAUAUAUUAUAAAGAAAUAAAUUUAUUUAUAUUAUUCUAUAUAAUAUAUUAUAAAUAAAUUAAUUUAUUAUAAAUAUUAUUUAUAAUUAUGAAUAUAUUAAUUUAAAUUAAAUUUUAAUAAUUAUAAAAAUAUAAAAUAAAUUAAAAAUAUAAUAAAUUAUGAAAGUGAAAAAAAAAAUUAAACUUAAUUAAAAAUAUAUAUAAAUUUUGAAUUAUAUUAUAAAUUAAAAAAAUAGAAAAAGAUAUAAAUUUUAAAUUAUAUUAUAAAUUAAAAAAAAAGAAAAAAAGAGAAAAUGGCACUGUAUUUGGCGUGACACUGUAGCGCAGCAUUAAAAUUUCGUGGAUUUUGACAUUGCAUUGGAGGGUCAUCUCCUAUGCCAAAAUGAAAUUUAGUGUAACAUUGGAGAUGGCCAAUCCUAUAAUAACGCAAACCUAUUUCUAGUUUUAUUUUUUUCAAUAACCCUAGCGCAAUAUACAUCCUCACAACUAUGUCUUCUCAUUAUAGUUUUAAAUGUGCAACCAAAAUAGUAUCUCCAGGUCAGCCAGGAAGAGGUUUAAGUCUAUUACACCAAUUGAUUCUUUCCACUUGUGUGUAUUUCAUUGAUGCUAUAUAUUUAGUAUAUAUUUUAAUUAAAUAUUUAAUUAAAUGAAAUUUAAAUACUAUUUAUUUUGAAUAAUUUUUAUAAAUUUUAUAGAGACGAAAGAAUAAUAAAAAUACUCAAAUUUAAAAGGAAAGAAACAGAUUUUAUACGGUGGCUGAACACAAAUUUGACCAAGGCUGUAGGCGAUUGGACAAGACUCCAAAGAUGAAUACUAAUGUAGCAGAUUUAGAAUUUCUCAUUAAAAAGGCCUUUAUUUCACCCCAAUUAUGGGAUUCUUAUCCAUCGAGUUUAAGAAACUUUCCCUCUCAUUGGGAAAGGAAUUAACACUCUAUUUUACUUUGGAAACUUGGAUUUUAUCUCUUUAGGAUGAGAGCUUCAGAUAGAAUUUUUUUAGGAUUUUGCUAUUUUAAGCAAACUUUAACUAUAUCCUCUCUUUUUGGUCAAAUUUUCUCUAGAGUUUUGUACUUUUCAGCAUAGAUAGCUAAAUUUUUUAAUUUUAAUUGAAAAUAAAUUGAAAUUUCAAUUUUUUUUAGAAUUAUGAGAUUUAAAUCUAUUAUUAAUCUUUAUUUUUUUAAUAUUUAUAUAAUUUUAAUAAUAAUAAUAAUAUUAUUAUUAUUAUUAUUAUUAUUAUUAUUUCUUUGUUGUGAUUGUUGUUCAUAUUAAUAACAUAAAAUAUUGUUAAUUUGGAUACUUUAAUCUGUAAUUGCUUGAAUUAUUUAAAUAUAUAUAAGCAGAACCUAUUAAAAAACUGCAUAAUCAAAUUUAAAUUUACUAUAUAUUUUGAUUUGUUAGUUAGAAUUGAGUCUCUAAUUCGUAAGAUAAUUAAUAAAUUAAAUUUGAUAUACAUUUUUUUGAGUUAUUUAUUGACUAUAAUUAAUUAGUGAAUAAUUUAUAAAUUUUAUAAAUUACUUAUAAAUAAUUAGAAUUAAUUUAUUAAAAUAAAUAAAGAUAUUAUUGUUUCAAUAAUCAAUUUUUAUAAUUAAAACAGAUCAUAUUCUUAGAUCAAAUUUGUUUACAUUAAUUUUGUUUCAAAUUUAUUAUUUAAUUUUUACUUUAUUAUUAUUUUCUUUAAUUUUCUUAAUUUUUACUUUAGUUACUCUUAUCAAAAUUCUUUUUUUUAUUUUAUUAUUUAAUUUAUUAGUUAUUGAUCGAAAAUUUUUAGUGUCAAUUUCUCAUAUAUGCAAUUAUAUUCACUCAAACUAUAGAUUAUUUAUAUUUAUUAGAUUCGAUAUUUUUUUUUUUUUUUUAAUUUCUACACUCAUGAUACUUAUAUUUGUAGUCUUUUAAUAUAGUAAAUAAAAUUUAAUUUGGUCUUGUAAAUUUUCAAAAAUUAAUUAAAAUAUCAUUUGAAUAUAAAGAUUGAGCAAAAUUAACUUGAGAUUUAAAUAUUUAAAUUAAAAAGGUAAAUUAACGUAAAUAUUAGAUUUUUUUAAUCGAUUAGCAUUUAAAAAAAUAAUAAUAAUGAAAUUAUAAAUAAUCAAGCUAUGCAAUAAGCAUUUGGAGGAUGUUGCAAUGUACUCCAUCCAACUAAUGCGUUUUUUUUUAUGUUUAUGACAAACUGGACAUUAGAACCUCCACACAUUCUUUUAACACUAAACUCAGUUAUCAUCUCCACUCCCGCAACAAGUUUCAUUUGAUUUUUGAAUCAAAUUGAAAUUGAUUCGAUUUGAGAUGGUUCAAAAAAUAUUAAUUUUUAAUCAUUUUAAUCCGAUUUGAAUUUAGUUUCACAAUCAUUUAUGAUUAUAAUUUUUUACAUUUUCAAUUUUAAUUAAAUUCAAAUUCUAAACCAUCAGUUUGAUUUGGAAAACUUUUAAAGUAGAAAAUUUAGAUAAAAUUAAAUAAAAUUAUAAAGAAAUAAAUCAAAAGUUAAAUAUCAUUCAAUUGAUAAUCGAAAAAAUAAGUAAUUUGUGUAAAAUAUAUCCAUUUUCAUAAUACAAAAAUAAAAUAAUAUUAUAUUUCAAUAAAAUAGCAUAUUUUAAAUUAUUUGGUUUUAAUUUAGAAAAUAAAUAAUGUUAAUAAAUUUAUGCAUAGCAGUUAUUCGAUUUUUAAAAAAUAAUUUAUAAUUUUUUAAAAGGUAAGUUAUAAUUUUAAAUCGAAUCAAUUAAAUGGUUAUCUUAAAUUUUUCUUUACUAAAAACUAUAUUUUUCUUAUUAUUAAAAAAAUUAAAAAUAUUAAAUUUUAGUUUUUAAAAUUUAUUUUUAAAUUAUUAUUAAAAAAUAAAUAAAAUCAAAUAGAUUGAUAACAUUAUAAUUUAUCCUUUUAAAUUUUAAUAAGUGAUAAUCUCAUUUAAUUUUUAAUAAUAAUUCAUAAGAAAAAUUAGAUUAAUAGAUAAAAUUUAAUAUUUUUAAUCUUAUCCUAUAAUUCAAGGAUAGGUUUAGUUGUUUAGCGUUUUUUCAAUAUAGAUAUUCAUGUAUUUGAUUUAAGGCUAAUAUGGAAUUUAUCUAAUAAAAGAAAUUAAAUUUGUAAAUGUGUGUAUUACUUUUCUAUUUAAUGAAAUAUUUUUAUUUUUUAUUUGUCUAAUAAUAACAAACUUUACAUAACAUUGUAACUUCCUAAUCUAGCUGGUCAUUGAAAUCUAUAUGAAAUCAGCUUUAAAAUUUAAUAAAAAAAAUUAAAAAGACAAAACCUAUUUUUUCAGUUGUCCUAUUCAACUUACUUACCAAUUAAAUAUUAAUGAAUAUAAUAUUAAAAUACUAUGACAUAAACAAUAUUAUUAAAUAAAUAAUUUCUUUCAUUGUGAUUUUGGCAAUUUAAUUAAUUUUUGAACAGAUAUGGUAACUGAGUAAAAAAUCUGUACCAUAUCUGUUUAAAAGUUAAUACAUGGCAUUUCCUUUUCUAAAUUAUGUGUAUCUAUGCAGAUCGUGAGUAUUUGAUCGGUUCAAUUUGGUUAGAAUUAAUUAGAUGGUAUUUUCUUUUUUAAAUUAUGUAUACCUAUUCAGAGGUGAGCACUCGAUCAGUUUGGUUUAAAAUCAAAUCGAACUAAAUAAAUCAAAAAUUAAAAUUUUGGUAGUUAUAAAAAUCAAACCAAAUCGAUUUUAAUUAUAAAUUGAAUCAAAUCGAACCAGUCUGAUUCAGUUCGAUUCGAUUUGAUUUGAUUGGUUUGAAUUUUAAUAAAUUUUUUAUUUUUUUAUAUUUUAUUUUUAAUAUUUUAAAAUUUAAUUAGAAUAUUUUAAUCUUAAUAUAAUCUAAUAUCUCUAUAUUAUUAAGAAUAAUAUACUGUUAUCACUAAUGGUUUGGUUUAAUUUUUUUGAUUUUUUCUGAUUAAAACCGAACUGAACCAAAAUAACCUAAAAUUUUGAAAUUAAAAUCAAAUCGAACCAAAAUAAAUAAAAAAAUCGAACUGAAUUUUCUAAAUUAAUUCGAUUCGGUCAAUUUUUUUAGUUUGAAUCGAAUACUGGUUACCCCUAUAUUUAUUAACUCGAGAUAUGACUAAAUAUUUCUUCAAUAUUUAGGAAGAUUUGUGUUUUACAUAUAUAAAAAUUAUUAUCUAAAUAAAAUCUGCACAUUUAAUUUAAAUUCAUGUAGAUUAAAUUUAUCAAGAGACAAAAAAAAAAUUCUAUUUCAAAUGUUAAACGUGUUUUAUGCUCAACAUUUAAAAUCAAAAGCACUAAUUAAGAAAGAAGAAAUCCCACCAUCCCAUAUUUCAGGACGAAAAUAUAUAUUAUUAAUACAACCUAUCACAGAAAAUUUGGUGUUGUUAAUUCUGAUUUGUUGGUGUUUCCAAAUUAGGAAGAAUAAUAAUAAUGUAGAAAUCCAAUAAAGCAAACGAAAAUGAAAAAAGACAAAGUAUUUCCUUUUAUUAGGUGGAAUGACCUUAUUUAGCAAAUACUCUAAAAUCCAUGUUCAUGAACAUUUGACCAAACUUACUUUCAUGGGUAACUCAUUCUUCUUAUUUAAAGGAUUCAUCAAACAGCAUAAUAAGCAAAGGAAUUUACAAGUCCAUCAAAAGAAUGGUGAAUGUUAAUAGAAAUCCAUUAUGGAUCUCAUAUGUGUUUUUCUUCUUCAUUUGUUUUGUUUUUCACCCAACUCAAUCCAUUAUUACACAUGAGAGGAAGCUUUGGCAUUUCAGCAUGCUACCGAAAGGUGAUCCUAUUCCUCCAUCUGGUCCUAGUACACGACCAUCAGGUUCGCCGCCACCACCACCGCUUAAUCAACCUAAUAGACGAACCUUAGAUUCACCACCGCUACCAUUUUACCGACAUUUGAAAUUUGGUAUGUUGCCUAAAGGUCCAGUUCCUCCAUCUGGACCUAGUUCAAGUUCACCACCACCACCACCAUUUCACCAGCGUGUGAACUUUGGCAUGUUGUCUUCGGAAGUUUCUAUACAAACCUCAAGUUCAACCCCACCACCAUUUAAAGAGCGUUUGAAUUUUGGAAAGUUUCUUAGAGGAGCUCCUAUUCCUCCAUCUGGGCCUAGUAGACGAACCUCAGAUUCCUCUACUAUUUCAAAUCGGCUUGGUGCAUGAACUCUCAUUAAGGUGUCUCCAUCUCUCCAUGCAAUGUCAGUUUUAGAUACCAUCAGAUCUUUCCUUAUCAAUAAUCACCGUCCAAAGUCUGUAAUUGGAUAAAUGUUAUGCAAUUAUCUCUUGUUUAUCGCCAAUAGCCAUAUUUCUAUGCUUUAAACUUAUACUCUUGGAUCAUUAUAAUUCUAUUAUGCAUGAAAGUCCUAAUUAUUCCAAAGCUAAAGAGUAAGGAGUGCCAAUGGCUAGCUGCUUUCAAAGGUUUGUAGAUUAAUGGAUAUGAUAUUUUUACUGUAUUUUAUUUUUAUUAUUGCAUAUUAAAUAAAGUUAGCAAAUAAAUGCAUAAUUUACAAUAAUGAGAAUAGGUAUUUAAUAAAAUAUUUUUAUGUACAAUAAAUAAAAAUAUAUUUAUUAUAAGUUAAAAAUAUUUAUUAUAUUGUUUUAUUAUAAUUGGAGUUAAUUUAUAAAUAAAUAUUUAGUAUACAUAAUAACUAUAAAAUAUAUUUACUUUAAAAUUUAGAUUGAAGUCAUUAUUUUAAUAAUCAAAUAAGUAUUUAUUUAAUUUUAUUAUUUAAAAUUUAAAAAUUCAUAUAGAUUUUUCAUGUGAGUAAAAAAUAGAAAACACCGAUAUUAAUUCUAUUAUUUGAGAAGAUGAGCAUUAGAUGCAGGCGUAAGAACAAAGAAGAAGAGUGAGCAGAGAAGCAAAGGGAAAAGAAAUCUUGAGGAAACCAUGGUUGUAGAGAGUAGAGAGUAUAGAGUUUUCCUUUAUUUAUAGUCAUAUGAAGUCCAUGCAGAGCUAGAAAUCAGAAGUCAAAUAAGACUUGGUUUUGUCCUGAUCUUUGGAUCCCAUUUGGACAUGAAAUCCGCGCAAAGUAGGGAUUAAGUUAUACGAUCCAGUUCUCUUUUUUCUUUUUUAUCACUUUUCAAGUUAUAAGUGGUUAUAGUUGGACUAGGGUUCUGUGCAAAAAGUCCUCCACACUAAAAUCUGAUGUCCUGAUACAUAUAAAACUUUUUGUUUUAUAUGUUAUAACUUUUCAAUUACUGAAUUCUUCAAAACAAACAAUCACUUUUCUAAAUUUAUAUUUAUUUUAAUUUUUUUGUUCUAACAAAAUUUCUGUCAUCAUUUUUUAACAUUUGAAAUGUUGUUUUACAUCACUUGGUUCGUUUCUUUACCUGAAAGUAUAUUUUUAAAUAUUUUUUCUUUGCAUUUGAGAUAUUAAAAAAAAAAAUUGAUAGUAAAAUUACUUUAUAUAUUUUGAGAAUCUUAUUAUAUUUUUAGACUUUUUAAACAUAAAUCUUAUUAACAUGUUUUAUUUUUUUAAUAUUGUAACUAAACAAUAAAAUAAAUUUUGUUUCCAAAAUAAUUUCUUUUUGAAAGUAUUUUUUUAUAUAAAUUAUUUUUUAUAAAGUAGAUGGAGCUUAAUAUAUAAAAAAUAAAUUUAAUUUUCAACAUUCUAUAAAUAUAGAUUUUUUUAUUUUGGUUUAAGUAGUCAUUUUAUAUCUCAAUAUGAAAUUUGAUUUUAAAUGAGUUUAUGCGCUCUUCAAUUUUAAUUUUAGAAUAAAAAAUAAAUAACUUUUGAAAUUCUGUUAAACCAUAAAAUGUAAAACUAUGUAUCUGAUUUGUGGAGAAAUAAUAUUUUAGAUUAUUAAAAUUCAAAUAAUUUAUGUAAAAAUAUGAGGUUGGAGUUUUAAUUGAAGUUGGGCAGGAGUGAAAAAUAAAAGUUUGAAAAAUUGAAAAUUAACAUGAAAAGUUUUUAAAAAAAAUGAACGAUUAAAAUGCAGUUUUCUUUAGAAAGAAAAAAAUGGCUGUUCUUUGCUAUCAAUAUCUCCUCUAGCCAAAAUUAAAAGAAAAGAAAAGUAAGAAUACAAGGAAAUGAGGAAAACCAAAAACUAAAAUUAAAAUUAGUGUUUUCAUAUGAGAAUAGUAAGCGGCCAAGCUCAUAAUACAUUUUCUAGCUUUAUAACAUAUUCUGCAUUUGGUUAACUAUUUGAUUGAUCUAACUGCUAAAUUUUCUUUAUGUAAUUUAUUACCUUUAGAAUGAUUUUCUUAUAAUUUCUCUGAGUUAUAUAAAAUUUUAUAAUAUUUUACGGCUUAUCAGGACUUUAUAAAGUAUUUUCUUUAGAUAACAAAAAAAAAAAAAACAGUGAUCAAACUUAUAUUAUAAUUGAGGGAUUUUAUUAAAAGGGUUGAAUGAGAAAAUGUCAACGUGAAUAAAAAAAUUUAAGGGAUGAAUUUUAUCAUUGGGAUGAUUUUUACUACCAGCAAGAAUCCACAAAACUAAUUGGCACACAAGUUUAAAAGAAAAAAAAAAUUGAAAUGCCUGGAGAGAAAAUUUUUGCCAACAUGUUUUUUUGUUUUUUUAAGUUUUUAUUGCAUUAAAGUCCAGGAGGGCAGAUAUACAUUAGGUCCAUGAGCUAGACCAUAAUCCAUAGACUAACAUUAAAAAAUACAGCCAAUAAACUCAAAAGAAACCGAACCUAACUAUCAUGAUGGCAAUCGACAACUCAAGAUAGCAACCGUUGAUCCCACCCUUCCACCACUGCCACAACUCCAAACUUGACCCACCGAUCGCGAGGAACAGAAAGAACAAACAGCCUGCAAAUCCAAAAAAGCUUCACAAGACAACAAGAAGAAUAAGUCUUAAAAAAAACUAAUUUUCAUUGAAGACCAACCCAAUAGCAUAUAGAGCUCUCCAUCUGAUAUAAACCAGCAAGCACAAUCAUAUGGGAAUCAAGGGAGCAAGGAUCUAUUGGUACUUCCUAGUAGACCAGUGAUAAGGAGCAAAACUAAAAAGUUUGAAGCAGCUAUGAACUUACACAUUUAAAAAUAAGUAACACAAGAAUUGAUUAAACUUGCCAUUGACAAAUGUCUCGUGGAGCUUGAAGACACACCUAAGCUACUCACCUUACUUGAGGUGUGUAAUGGAGAUGGCGCUGCAUAAUUUAUUCAGCAUUGUUAUGAUGAACUUUCUAUAUUUUAUUAUUUAAACACUUGCUUUAUUUUGAUUUCGUUUGGACUUGUAUUCUUACCAUAUUUUAUCUUUUAAGUUUUAGAGUGUUGGGUCACAUUUUGGCCUUAUGUUUUAAUACUUAUGAGUUUGAUGUGUUAUUUUAGUGUAUGAUUGGGUUUAAGCCUUGUGUGUGGUUCGGCCGAGCCUAAGAAAAGUGUUUUACGAUUUUAUUUUUUCUCCUUACUAUAUAAGGAUAAGAAACACUUGUAAGAGGGAACUUUUAAUCAAAAUUUUCAGAAUUCUUCUUCAUGCCUUUAGCGUGUAUUGCUUUGAGUGAGAGUGAAGAUUUGCUUUCAUUAAUUGCAUCAAGAAUCUUGGCUAACUUAUCAACUAUUCGUUGUAGCAUUUGUCGGAUUCUCAUCUAAAUCCUUUGAUCUUUGGUGUUUCAGCUUCUCUAAGUGUGGGGUGCCAUAGGAGGUGGAUUUAUCAAAUCUUUGGAUUCUACAUCUACUUGUGCGUUGGGAUUUGAGACUUAUACUAUAGGAUUCCACGUCAGUUAGUAUCAGAGGCAAAGUGAGGUAAAUUCUGAUUUAUCUUAGGUUCUAGGAUUUUUUUUUUUGAGUUUUCCUUUUCUUCCUUAUUGAAUUCGAUGAAGAUUCAUUGUGUCCAUGGUUGCACCUUCUUAAUUAUUUGAAUCGUUAUCUAAUCUCAUUUUUGGAAAAGAAAUUCAAUAUUUACAAUAGAAAAAAUAAAAUUUCAAGGAUUACUCUUGUUUGGCUAAAAUCUUCUUUGCGUUAUUUAUCUUGAUCUUAGCUGAAAAUUGUUAUAUGCUUCCUAUUUAAUCUAUAUUGUCUUAUCUUUCUCAAUUGAUGGUUGAAAUUUAUGGGAAUCAAUUUUGAAAGUUGAAUUGGCUUGAAUUAGAUGAAAGAAAUUCUGCAUAUUUCAUAAAGUGCACAUUUAAGCCAAUUGCACCUAAAUUGAUUUGAUAUCAAAUCCUCAUUUUAAGACCAUAAAAUUCGGCCCUAAUGCUGAAGUUGAGUGAGAUUUAUUUUUUUUAAUUCUAUUUGUAGGUUUUUGAUACUUGCCUUUUAGGGUAGUUUUAAAUAAAUCCAUAUUUAAUUUGCUUUGAAGUGAAUUAAAUUCAAACUUUUUGUCCAGAUUCAUUUCCAUUUGAAUUCUAAGUUUUUAUUUUUGGUUUAAGCUUGCUUUUACUUUCUUGACAUUGCUAGAGUAUUAUUGGCUUGUGUUUAUACUCUAGGUGAUAAUUUUCAAGUAGUACAAAACCUUAUUCGUGUGAUACUUUCUAAAUUGUCAGUAUCUUCUUUCUAAUUUUUUUGUGCUUUCUUCUUUCUUUAGGAUUUCUUCUUUCUUUCGUUAAACAUACCUUGGAGUUGGUUUGUUGACUUUAAAUUUUGAAGUGCAAUUGAAGAAUCAGCAAAAAAGUAGUAAGAGUGCAAACACGUAAUGCUUUUAUUUCUAAUACCAUAUUUGCUAGUUCUCUUUGUUCUUUGUUGAUUUAAGACAGGAUGAGUUAAGACAAGAAUGUGGUGGAUAGUACUGAUUAAGUGAAUCGGACAUGACUAAUGAUUAUAAGCUCUUUAAGAAGUCAAUCGGUGGUGAGUUUCAAAAGCUCUAUAGAGAAUGACCAAAGCUGUGAGGGUUUGAAAGUCUCAUGGGCUUCCACUUCUACAACAAUGGCUCACAGAAUUCUUAAUCCCGAUAGACCACAAGUCUAAGGUGAAGUUGAUGAUAUCGGAGAUAAUGUCGAACAAGAAAGGGAAAGAGGUAAAGUUCAUGGAGGUAAUAAAACUGGUGUUGGGUGGAAUAGAGGUGGAGAUGCUAGACUUGGUCGAAAUGAUGAUGAGAUCGAUGACUUGAGCUCUAUAAAGAUGAAAGUUCCUAAAAUUAAAGGGGAUAACAAUGUUAAAGAGUACAUUGAAUGGGAGAGAAAAACUGAGCAAAUAUUUGAGUGUCAUAACUAUACUGACGAGAAGAAGUCUCAUAUCGUCGCCGUUGAGUUUACAGGUUAUGCUUCGUUCUGGUGGGAUCAAUUGACAUCCACUAGGAGGAAAAAGGGCUUAAGGGCAAUUCCACUAUGGGAAUAUUUGAAAGUAUUGAUGUUCCAGGGAUUCAUUCAUUCACACUAUUAUAGGGAUUUGUACAACAGGUUGGCAAGACUAGUAUAAGGAGAGAAGAGUGUGGAAGAAUACCACAAGGAGAUGGAGAUGAUGAUGGCUUGGACUCAUAUUGAGGAGAAUGAGCAGAUUUUUAUGUCUAGGUUUCUAGGUGGUCUUAAAAACUACAUUGCUGAAGAACUUGACAUGUACCAAUGCAAUACCAUGGAGGAUAUGGUUGAUAGAGCAAUAAAAAUAGAAAGGCGUCGCAAGGGUAGAAAUAACCUUAAAACCAUAUGCAACAAGUCCUCAAAUAGUGGUGGUGGAUUUCAAGACUAUAGAAGUGGAGAAAAGAAAGAUUACAAAAGCCUAAUCCAAAGGCGCAAAGAUUCGGUCUCCACAAACAAAAGCCCUUCUCAAGAGAAUAACAAGAAAUAGUAAGGUAAUUCUAACUCUUCUACCCCAGUAGAGAUAUAAAAUGUUUUAAAUGCUUGGGGAAAGGACAUAUUGUAUCUCAAUGUCUUAAUAAGAGAGUUAUGAUAGAAACUGCUGAUGGGGGGUAUAGUGUCUAAUUAUGAUCAUAGUGAUGAUGAGAUAUAUGCUGAUAUGACUGAAUUGAUUGAUGCUCAUAAUGACUGUGAUGAUUCGGAUGUGUUUGUUGAUAACGUGUUGCUUGCUAAAUAUGGUGAGAUGCUUUUUGCUAGGCGUGCUUUGAAUAUGUAGGUUAAGAAAGAAAGCCUAGAACAACGGAAAAUAUAUUUCACACUAGGUGUUUGGUUAAUGGGAAAGUGUGUACUUUUAUUAUUGAUGGGGGUAGUUGCAAAAACGUGGCUAGUGUGUAUAUGGUGGAGACAUUGGGCUUGGCUUCUACUAAACACCCUAAGCCAUACAUAUUGCAAUGGUUGAAUGUGUAACGGUCAGCUGCCUGCUUUCGCUGCGGAAGCCGUCCCACAUCGGGAGAUUAUAGAAAAUCGAAAUUGUAUAUAAUAGCUAGCAUGAAACUACUAAAUAACUUGGGUUAACCAUUUUGGACCAAGUGAAAAGUGGGUCCAAAAGUUAUUUGGGCUAGUUUGGGCCGGGUUGUUUCAGAAUGAUUGUGGUGAGAUUAGGAUUACACGCCAAGUAGCUGUACCAUUUUCUAUUGGUAGGUAAAACUACUAAAUAACUUGGAUUAACCAUUUUGGGCCAAGUGAAAAGUGGGUCCAAAAGUUAUUUAGGCCAGUUUGGGCCGGGUUGUUUCAGAAUGAUUGUGGUGAGAUUAGGGUUACACGCCAGGUAGCUGUACUAUUUCCUAUUGGUAGGUACAAGGAUGAGAUUUGUGUGAUAUGGUACCUAUGCAUGCAAGCCAUAUGUUGUUGGGUAAGCCAUGGAAAUAUGAUAGAAAGGUGUAACAUGAUGGGUUCAAUAAUAAAUACUCCUUCACUCAUGAAGGAAAGAAGGUUAUACUUGCUUCUUUAUCACCUUAGGAGGUAUAUGCUGAUCAAAUAAAGAUGCUGGAGAGGGAGAGGGAGGCUUCGGCCUUGGCUACAAAAGGGAGUGAGAGUUCGAGUUCUGUGAAAAAAAUGAGAGAAAAGAGUAAGUCUGAGAGUAAAGAGGCCAGAAAAGAAUCAAGACCAAUAAAUGGCCCAUUGGUGAGAGAAAAGACACAAGAGGGGAGGGCAAAAUAGGAAUUUUAUGUGAGAGCGAGAGAGGUUAAUAGUGUUAUUUCUUUAAGGCAACCUAUGAGCGAGAGAGGUUCUACCAUCCCAAAUAGAGUAGAUUACUGAAGCAAUCCAAUGGAAACAAAGGAGAUGCAAAGGCAAGUUGAUGAGCUUAUGGAGAAGGGAUUGGUGAGAGAGAGUUUAAGUCCAUGUGUUGUUCCUGUGUUGCUUGUUCCAAAGAAAGAUGGCACCUGGUGGACGUGUAUUGAUUACAGAGCAGUUAACAAGAUCACAGUGAAAUACAAGCAUCCUAUACCUCGGCUAGAUGACAUGUUGGAUGAGCUUCAUGGUGCUAGGUACUUUACUAAAAUUGAUCUUAUGAGUGGAUAUCAUCAUAUUAGGAUAAACUUGGUGAUGAAUGGAAAACUGCAUUUAAGACUAAGUAUGGUUUGUAUGAAUGGUUAGUUAUGCCUUUUGGUUUGUCGAAUGCACCUAGUAUAUUUAUGAGGUUGAUGAACCAUAUAUUGCGUGCAUAUUUGGGAAAUUUUGUAGUUAUUUAUUUUGAUAAUAUCUUGAUCUAUAGUAAGUCUCUUGACGAACAUAUUGAGCAUGUUAGGCUAGUUUUGCAGGUUUUGAGGCAAGAGAGAUUGUAUGCUAAACUUAAGGAAUGCACAUUUUAUAUAGAUAUACUUGUUUUCCUUGGUUUUGUUGUGAGUUCACAGGGAAUUGGGAUAGAUGAAGAGAAGGUGAAAGCUAUAAAGGAGUGGCCUAUUCCUAAAUCUAUUUCAGAUGUGAGGAGCUUUCAUAGCUUUGCAAGAUUUUACAGAAAAUUUGUGCAGAAUUUCUCUACUAUUGCAACACCACUCACAGGAAUUAUCAAGAAGGAAGUUGGGUUCAAGUGGGGAGAAGAGCAACAGAAAGCUUUUGACUGCUUAAAAGUGAAGUUAACAUCCACUCCUAUAUUAUCUUUGCCUAACUUUGAUAAAACUUUUAAAAUUGAAUGUGAUACUUCUGGCGUAGGUAUUAGGGCUGUGUUGAUGCAAAAGAAGAAUCCAAUAGCCUAUUUCAGCAAGAAGUUGAAUUGAGCACAACUCAAUUACUCAACUUACGAUAAGAAUCUGUAUGCCGUAGUGAGAGCACUGGACAUGUGACAACAUUAUCUCCUGACCAAGGAGUUUGUGAUACAUACGAAUUAUGAGUCCUUAAAGCACUUGAAGAGACAAGACAAGUUGAAUAAGUGACAUGGUAAGUGAGUUGAGUUUGUUGAACAAUUUCCAUAUGUGAUUAAGUAUAAGAAUGGGAAAACAAUAUGGUUGUAGAUGCUUUGUCUAAGAGGUAUGCUUUAAUUAAUGCUUUGAGUUCUAAAUUGAUAGGUUUUGAGCAUGUUAAGAACUUGUACAUUAAUUAUGCUGAUUUCAAUAAUGUAUUUGGAGCUUCUGAGCAUGAAGCUUUUAACUCUUUUUAUAGGCAUGAUGGUUACUUGUUUCAGGAUAAGAAAUUGUGUGUGCCUAGAUGCUCUAUGUGUGAUUUGCUUGUGCUUGAAUCUCAUUAUGGGGGUUUGAUGGGGCAUUUUGGAGUACAUAAGACUUAUGAAAUUUGAGCAUUUUUAUUGGCCUUCUAUGCACAAAGAUAUUGAGAAAGUGUGUGCUUCUUAUAUUGCAUAUAGACAGGCAAAGUCUAAGUCUAUACUUCAUGGUCUUUAUAUACCUUUACCUGUACCUAGUUCACCUUGAAUGGAUAUUUCUAUUAACUUUGUGCUUGGCUUAGUUAAGAUUAGGCGUGGUAGAAAUAGCAUAUUUGUUGUUAUCGAUAGGUUUAGCAAGAUGGCUCAUUUCAUUCAUUGCCAUAAAAUUAAUUAUGUCAUCAAUAUAGCUUACUUGUUCUUCAAGGAAGUGGUUCGAUUUCAUGAAAUACCAAGGAUAAUUGUGCCAAAUAGAGAUGCAAAAUUCCUUUUGCACUUUUGAAAAAUAUUAUGGAGUAAGUUGGGUAGUAAACUUUUAUAUUCUACUACUUAUUAUUCACAGACAAAUGGCCAGACAGAGGUAGGUAGAGAAUAGAACUCUUGGUUUCUUGCACCUUGGCCCUAGUGUACAUUCGUCCUUGUGUUAAACGCUUCAGAAGUGCAUGUAUAAAUUUUUCAUCCUUGUGUGCUAUUCCUUGGAAAUCUUAUUAUGAAAAAAAUUUAUUAAUUUGAUAUUUUAAUUUUUAAAAAUAUAUUAAAUAUUUUAAAAUUUUUAAAAAAAUUUAGUAAUUGAUAAUUCUAUUAGUUCUAAUCCUAAAAUUAUUAUUUAAUUAGCUAUGUUUAGUUUGGGGUACUUUAAUAGGAAAAGUUUAACUUCUCAAAUAGUAUGAAAUAUUAUUUUGUUUGGUUGGCAUGAUUUUAUGACUUUUUUGAGAAGUUGGUUUGUGUUACUUCAUCUUAUAAGGAAGAUAAAUUCCCCUCCUAACUUUCCUUAUUUUCUAUUUUACUUUUUUUUUUAAAUUUUUUUCAUAAUUAGAUAUUUAGAUGAAAAUUAAUAGAAAAUUGAAUAUUAUGUUUGUUGAUAAAUAAUAAUGUAUGAAAAAUUUUAUGAUAUAAUUUUAUUUAAAUUAUAUAUUCAUUUAAAUAAAUAAAAUUAAUUAAAUAUAAAUAUUUUUUAUAUUUUAUGAUAAUUUUUCUUAUUGUCAUAAAAAAUUAUAUAUUAAUUAUUAUGUGAGUUGAGUAUUUAUUUUCAAAAUUUUAGUAUUUGGUCAAUAUAUAAUUUUUUCUAUUAAAUUGAAUAUUAUAUUUUAAAUAUUAUACAUAUAUUUAAAGUGGAGAUUUUCAUGUUAUUCUUAUCGUCGCAAUUCAUUUACUUCAUGAAAAUUUAACAUAUUAACUUAGACGCAUUCAAAUUAUACUUUCUAGAAAAUAACUUCUCAAAAGUAUGCUUUUCAGUAAAUUAACUUUUCGGUAUUUAUUUUCUUUCGGUUUUAAUAUUUUUCUUCCUUUACAUAAUAGCUCUUUAAUUGAAUAUAAAUUAUCUAACCCCAUCGACCGUCAUAUAUUAUAAAUUAUAUUUUAAUUAUCAAGUACUUACAAACUCCAUUCCUUAUAUAUUUUGUCUAAAGAAAAAUAUUUCUAUUUACAACAAAAUCUGUUUAUGCUUCAAAUGACUUUGAAGGUAACUUCUUAUACACUUUGAAAUUCAAAAGAGGUAGUUUCCAUUGUCCAAUGAUGGUAUAGCAAUGUCUCCAAACUUAAAGUGAAAGUCUUUAUUUGGGUUAAUAAAUUCAUAUUCAUCACCAAAGUAUAAAUUAAAAAUACGAGCUUUUAUGUAAUCAUAAAAAUAAGAAAGAAUACUGAUGACCGCUGGAUUUUUCCACCCCAGUCAGGGGCCAAGCCCUCGAUCGCGGCCCAUCGCUCAGAAGCCCACACAUCCUCUGCACUAACAGGUCUGGCCCUUUCGAGCCUUGAUACUGAGCCCCUCCGAAUUUCUCAACCAGGCUGGCCUCGCCUUCACUGCACCUCGGGCCGAUCUCCUUUGGGGCCAGCUUUGCUCCUAUCUCCCGGCCCAGCCCAGAAUCAGAAGGAAGACUCAUUUAUCUGCCUUGUGGACCCAUCUACACGCGCGUGAAGAGAAUCAGAGGCCGUUACGCAUGGGGCAGAGAUUUGAUUCCCUCGUAUGUACGAAUCAACGUAGCAGGGACAGGUGGUCCAAUGAUAUACGUUCUGUUAGCACGUCACUAGCAGACAAAAGGAAACAUAUAAAAGGAGAAAUACUCUCCUCUAGGUCUAAGCUUUUUCCAGUUUUACAGAACCCAUUGUAAAACCCUAUUUUCUGAAUCUCAGAUCAUCAAUUGGCGCCGUCUGUGGGAAACGAAGGAGAUCUUUUCAUCACCGGAGUUCCACUUUUAACAAAACCCAUUGAGAUCCACGAUGGCUAAUCACAAUGAAAGCAACCUUAACAUCCCAAAUGACCUGAGCUCUGCCCAAGAGGGGCAGCAGUUCUCUUUUUCUAGCCCUACAACACUAAACAACCAAACACCCAUUCCUCUCAAUCCCUCGCCAAGCUUGGCAGGGAAUGCUCCCAAUGCUGCCUUAUCUAACCAGAACCUUCAAACCAUGGCCCUCCAACUACAGAACACCGCCCACUGGUUGGGACAGAUGAUGCAACAAAGGGGCCUCAGCACCCCGAUAAAUACACUCCCAGUGGUAGAAGAACCCCAAACCAAUGAGCCCCAACCUGCCCUUAACCGCCUUCAAACCAGCAGCCGCGAUACCGGAGAAAAGGGGAGAAGAGCUGGGGAAGAGGAAGAACCGGAGGCCCGAGUCCAUGGAAGGAAGGUGAGGGAGAUGAUAGAGAAUGAUGAGGCUGACAACUAUUCUGCCGGGACAACCAAGUGGACGAGAAGUGAAGCAGAGGAGGAGGAAUACCACCUACAGAAGAAACCCAGGCUGGAAGAUGAGAAUGUAGACCAAAAGCUGCAGAAGUUGAGAGAGCAGCUCUUGGCCGAGCUGGGAAAGAAGGAUCAAAGCCAAACCUUCCUGCCCACUUCUUCACAUUUCUCGAAAUGGGUGCAGCAGGAGACUGUCCCUAAGAAGUUUAUGAUGCCAUCAAUGACGGCUUAUGACGGAGCUGGUAACCCAAGGGAGCACGUCAUGAACUACGAGACCUUCAUGGAACUGCAAACUUUAUCGGAUGCCUUGAUGUGCAAGGUAUUCCCAACGACGCUCUCGGGGCCAGCGCGAGUGUGGUUCAACAGCCUGGAGACCGGAAGCAUAGGAAGUUUUGGAGAUCUGGCCACUCGCUUCAUCAGCCGGUUUAUUGCCGGGGUGCCUGCGGAUAGGAAGACGAGCUACCUGGAAACAAUCAAGCAGAGAAGAGACAAAUCGCUCAGGGAGUACGUCGUUCGUUUCAAUACGGAGGCUCUGUAAAUUCUCGAGCUCGAUGAAGGAAGGGCGAUGGAGGCCAUGCAGAAGGGAACGACCUCUGCUGAGUUCUUCGGCUCACUAAGCAGGAAGCCUCUGACCUCACUUGUCGAGCUGAUGCAAAGGGCUGAAAAGUAUAUAAGGCAGGAUGAUGCUUUAGUAACAAGCCAAUUCGCCAAGGGACCAGUAGGUAAGGAGAAAGCCCCGGAGGAAAGGAGGCCGGAGAAGCAUGAGAAGAAACAUAGCAAAAGGCCUGAGCCUUACAGACAACCCUGGAAACGAAGGGACCAAAGACCUCUCCCUCCUCGGGUCUCAGAACAAAGGCCACUCCCUCCAUGGGUCCCAGAGAAGCCAACCCCACUUAACGCUUCUAGAGCCGAAGUACUCAUGGUCGUCGAAGACAAAGAAUUCGUAGAGUGGCCCAGACCCCUGAGAACAGAAGCCGACCAAUGAAAUCCUGACAAAUACUGUCAGUUCCAUCGCACUCAUGGCCAUGAUACCAAUAACUGCUUCCAGUUGAUCGCAGAAAUCGAGAGGCUGAUAAAAAGAGGGCACCUAAAGAACUUCGUGAAGAAACCGGAAGGACAAAGACCUCAGCCCAAUUCGGCAACCCAAGCGCCGAGGAGAGCGGGAGCAGUGAAUGAUGGGUCUAGUGGGACCAUUAACAUGAUUGUGGGGGGCACAGGAGGUCGGAUGAGUCGUAGAGGAAAGAAGAGGAGUCGAGAGGGAGAAAACAUUGGCGCCGAGGUCAUGCAGGUCGUCGAACACUCUCCAGUGGCCAUCACUUUCUCUCCGGAGGAUGCUCAAGGUGUUCAAAUGUCCCAUGACGACGCCCUUGUCAUUGAAGCUGUCAUCCACAACUAUCGGGUGAAGAAAAUCCUAGUGGAUGAUAGGAGUAAGGUCAACCUGCUACCCUACCGGGUCUUCCAGCAGAUGGGAAUCUCUGAAGAACAGUUGGUCCGGGAUCAGGCACCGGUCAAAGGAGUCGGAGGAGUCCCAGUACCCGUAGAAGGGAAGGUGAAGCUGGCUCUCACCCUAGGAGAAGCACCGAGGACUCGCACUCAUUAUGCGGUGUUCCUAGUAGUCAAACUUCCUCUGAGCUACAACGCGAUCCUAGGAAGACCUGCGCUGUUUGACUUUGAGGCCGUCACCAGUAUCAGAUACCUGGCAAUGAAGUUCCCAACAGAAGCAGGGGUGGGAAUAGUUCGGGAAAGCCAGGAGGAAGCAAGGGCAGUGUACCUAGCCACUGUAGCAGAGCCCAGCUCAACAGAGGAGAGGCUGGAUUCAGAAGUCCUGGAGGUCCGAGACGAGAAAACAGAGGCCAGGACAGAGCCGGUGGGGGAACUGGAGAUUUUUUCCUUAUCAGAAGUAGAAACAGAUAAAGUCUUCAGUCUCAACGCCGGCCUCACCAAAGAGCAGAAAAUUGAGGUCAUGGCCCUGAUCCAAAGUCACGCAUCAAGCUUCGCCUGGAAGCCUUCUAACAUGCCAGGGAUUGACCCAAAAGUGAUGACGCACAAAUUGAAUGUCCUCCCUGAAGCUAGACCGGUAAAGCAGAAGAAGAGGGUAGUAGGAAGGGAGAAGCAACAGGCUACCAAGGAGGAGGUACUAAAGCUAGAAGAGGCAGGCUUUAUUAGGGAAGUCAUGUACCCACAGUGGUUAGCUAAUCCUGUACUAGUCAAAAAAGCCAAUGGCAAAUAUAGGAUGUGCAUAGAUUUCACUGACCUAAAUCAGGCCUAUCCUAAAGAUUGUUAUCCCCUCCCUGAUAUUAAUAAAAUGGUUGACUCUACGGCCAAUUUCGAUUACAUGUCUUCUUUGGAUGCUAUGUCUGGCUAUCAUCAAAUCCCAAUGGACAGGUUAGAUGAAGAAAAGACCUCGUUCAUAACAGAAGAUGGGACAUACUGCUACAAAGCCAUGCCCUUCGGGCUAAAAAACGUCGGGGCAACAUACCAAAGACUGAUGAACAAAAUCUUCAAAAGCCAGAUCGGCAAAAACGUAGAGGUUUAUGUAGACGAUAUGGUAGUCAAAAGCCUAACUUUCCAACAGCACAUAGCAGAUUUGAGGGAGGUAUUCGGAGUAUUAGACCAGUACAGAAUGAAGUUGAACCCAGCGAAAUGUGCCUUCUUCAUCAGAGGAGGAAAAUUCCUGGGGUACAUGGUGAGUGGGAAAGGCAUCGAGCCCAACCCAGAGAAGGUAGAAGCCAUAUUGAAUAUGCCAGAACCGACCUGUGUAAGGGACGUCCAGAGACUGACCGGGAGAGUAGUGGCGCUUAAUCGAUUCAUGUCGAGGUCGGCAGAAAAGUGUUUACCAUUCUUCAAGAAGUUGAGGAAAAUGCCAAACUUCGAAUGGACAGAAGACUGUCGAGAAGCCUUCAAAGAACUCAAAAACUAUCUCAGCUCGCCUCACGUGCUUAGUAGUCCCAUGGAAGGGGAGGAACUUCUGAUAUACCUGGCGGCCUCUGAGCAAGCAGUCAGCGCCGUAUUGGUAAGGGUGGAAGAAGGAGAGCAGAAGCCUAUUUUCUAUGUCAGCAAGGUGCUUAAAGACGCCGAGGUCAGAUAUUUGAAUAUUGAGAAGAUAGCCUACACUCUACUACUGGCAGUCCGAAAGUUCAGAGUUUAUCUGGAAAGCCACCAAGGAGUAGUAAUGACCGAUCAAGCCUUGAAGAAGAUUUUGCAUAGACCGGAGACCUCAAGUCGGAUGAUAGCUUGGUCCAUUGAGAUUAGUCCUUAUUGCUUAGAGUAUCGACCUUGAACAGCCAUAAAAUCUCAGGCCCUUGCUGAUUUCAUAGCAGAGUGCACAUUCAGUGAAGAACAAGGAGAAUCAUCUUCAGAAGUGUCGGGGAAGCAAAGAAAGGAAGAAUUUUUCCAAAAGUUCAGCUGGAAGUUAUAUGUAGACGGGGCUUCAAGCGCCGAAGGCAGCGGUGCUGGAAUAAUGCUUAAGGGGCCUGGAGGAUUUAAGGUUUGCUACGCCCUACGCUUAGAAUUCAAAGCCUCCAAUAACAUGGCGGAGUACGAAGCCUUAAUAAACGGGAUGCUGGUGGCAAUGGAAGUAGGGGCAACUGACCUCGAAGUAAAAAGCGACUCACAACUAGUGGUCAACCAGAUAACUGGGGCAUAUCAAGCCAGAGACCCAACCAUGCAGAGCUACCUGGCAAAAGUAAAAGCUAUAGAGGCUGAACUCAUAGAUCGGGGAGUUCCCAUCAAAUUUCAAAGCAUACCUCGAGAAGAAAAUGAGGAAGCCGACCUGCUUAGUCGGUUGUCCAAAGAAGAAUUAGAACAGCUCCCUGAUGAAGUGUACAUACAGCACGUCCACACGCCUGCUUUUAAUAAAACAAACACGGUAUUGCAGGUGGAACAAAGCCCGACUUGGAUGACUCCAUACCUAGAAUACCUGGAGAAGGGAAAGCUCCCUGAGGAUAAAGAUGAAGCUAGAAAGAUAACAGCUCGUGCAGCCAACUAUCAAGCAAUAAGGGGACCUUAUACAAAAAAGGGAAAUCCAGCCCGUGGCUUCGAUGUGUGAGCCCGGAUGAGGCUACAAAGGUGAUGGAAGAGAUACACAAGGGAAUGUGCGGAGCUCACGAAGGAGCAGGGACCUUAGCCAAUAAAAUAUUUAGGCAAGGGUACUACUGGCCCACUGUUAAAAAGGAGGCAGAAGAGUUUGUCCGAAGGUGCGACGUAUGCCAAAAAUUUGCUAAUGCCAUCAAAGUCCCAGCCACUCCUCAAGCCAACAUAUCCAGUCCAUGGCCAUUCUCACAAUGGGGAAUAGACAUCCUGGGACCCUUCCCCAAGACCACGGGACAGAGGAAAUUCGUAGUAGUAGCUGUGGAAUACUUCUCCAAAUGGCCAGAGGCGGAAGCAAUAGCCACGAUCACAGCUCGCAAGAUGAUAGACUUCGUAUGGGGAAACAUCAUCUGCAGGUUUGGCAUACCAAGAGUACUCAUAUCUGACAAUGGCAGACAAUUUGACUGUAGCACCUUCAGAGCAUUUACGGCAAACAUGGGCAUAUGGCACAAGUUUUCUUCAGUGGCCCAUCCUCAGACCAAUGGUCAAACAGAGGUUACCAACAGAGCUAUCCUCCAGGGAUUAAAGAAACGUCUGGAUGGGGUAAAGGCGAACUGGGCAGAAGAGCUCAAUAGUAUCCUGUGGGCACUCCAAACUACCCCCAGAACGUCCACUAAAGAAACGCCCUUUGCACUUGCUUACGACACAGAGGUCGUAGUCCCAGUCGAGCUGCAAAUCCCCACUCAUCGAGUCCAAUUUGCUAACGAGAACAACAAUGACGACAAGUUAAGGAACAACUUGGACGCUCUCGAAGAAAUUAGGGAAGAAGCUCAAGUCUGAACUGCGGCUUACCAACAACGGGCAGCCCGUUAUUACAACCAAAGGGUCAGAGAAAGAAGUCUAAAGGUAGGGGACCUGGCCCUAAGAAACUUAGAAGCUACGGGAAAAAGAACAGCAGUGGGCAAGUUGGCACCGACCUGGGAGGGCCCAUUCAGGAUAGCAAAAGUGGUUAAGUCAAGAGUAUACCGAAUCGAAGAUAUGCAAGGAAAUCCUGAGCCCCACGCCUGGAAUAUCCAACACCUAAAGAGAUAUUUCCCCUGAAAUAUUUGUAAAGAAAAGCAUUGUACUCUGAAAAACAUGAAUGAAUAAAAUAACAUCAUUCCUUCCAAAACGAGAUUAUCUUUAUUAUUGUGAAUGAUUCUCUAUAGAAAACAAAGAACAAAGCUCAGAAGACCUUUCUGAGAUAUAAAGAUCUCAGAAAGGUAGAAGACCUCACUAAAGAUAUAGAGAUCUCAGAGAGGUAGAAGACAAGGAUCCCCAAGAUCUCCUGGCACUAGAAGAUCUCACUGAGAUAUAGAGAUCUCAGAGAGAUAGAAGACCUCACUGAGAUAUAGAGAUCUCAGAGAGGCAGAAGACCUCACUGAGAUAUAGAGAUCUCAGAGAGGCAGAAGACCUCACUGAGAUAUAAAGAUCUCAGGGAGGUAGAAGACCAGGAUCCCCAAGAUCUCCUGGCAUCAGAAGAUCUCACUGAGAUAUAGAGAUCUCAGAGAGAUAGAAGACCUCACUGAGAUAUAGAGAUCUCAGAGAGAUAGAAGACCUCACUGAGAUAUAGAGAUCUCAGAGAAGCAGAAGACCUCACUGAGAUAUAGAGAUCUCAGGGAGGUAGAAGACCAGGAUCCCCAAGAUCUCCUGACAUCAGAAGAUCUCACUGAGAUAUAGAGAUCUCAGAGAGAUAGAAGACCUCACUGAGAUAUAGAGAUCUCAGAGAGGCAGAAGACCUCACUGAGAUAUAGAGAUCUCAGAGAGGCGGAAGACCUCACUGAGAUAUAGAGAUCUCAGGGAGGUAGAAGACCAGGAUCCCCAAGAUCUCCUGGCACCAGAAGAUCUCACUGAGAUAUAGAGAUCUCAGAAAGAUAGAAGACCUCACUAAGACAUAGAGAUCUCAGAGAAGCGGAAGACCUCACUGAGAUAUAGAGAUCCCAAGGAGAUAGAAGACCAGGAUCCCCAAGAUUUCCUGGCACCAGAAGACCUCACUGAGAUACAGAGAUCUCAGAGAAGUAGAAGACCUCACGGAUCCCAGGGAGGUAAAAGGACAUAGUUCCGACCUCCCACAAAAGAUCGGGGCAAUCAUAAGAGGCACCAACCUCGAAAAGUGACCGCUAGUCCUAAACCAGCUCAACUAGCCCAGAGAGAAGUCUAAACAGCAAAGAACUCACAAAACGCUCGAGGGUAGGCAGCUCGGAAAAAGAAAGGCUAAGUCCGACCUCACAAACGAGCUCGGAACACCAAAGCGAAAAAAGCAAAAUUCUGAACUCCUGAGCUUGCGAAAUAAGCAGCGUCAUGAACUAUAGGCAUAAAAACCUAAGCAAAGAGCAAAGAACCGAGCUCCCAGCUCGGAUAGACUCGCAACAUGAAACACUCAGGCAGAAUGAAGCUAAGUAUAGAGGAAAUAACAGAGAAUCGAGCUCCCUCUAUGAAAAGGCCCAUAAAUGCAAGAACGUAUAGGAGGAUAACUGAAGCCAUGCAAAUACAAAUAAAGUACAGGGAUUUACUCCCUCACUAAUUAUGUAAUAAGUACUAAGGAAGUAAAGGGGCAAUCCGAGGAAAAUCUAAUGACACGAAGCAAAUAAAACCUCAGCUCCAGCCCCUGUAAAGAUAGAACUAAAGGCAGAAAGACGAGCCCUGCUCAUCACCUAAAAAGGUACAUGAUCUGACUUAUCAUUAUUAAGCAAAGGGUACGGCCCGAAGUGGUAGUAACGAAGUAAUAAGGACAUCUUGGAAUCAUACAAACCUGUGGGUCAAGAGCUCAACUCACUGGUUAAAAACAGAGCUCGCGAGUACGGUUAGUCCUGCUCGGAAAGAGUAAACCAAAAGCGGUUAGUUCAGCUCGGAAAGAGUAAACCAAAAGCGCUUAGUCCAGCUCGGAAGGAGUAAACCAAAAGCUCAGUUGGCUGAACAAACUCUAGUUCUGAUCGGCUAGGAGGCGAGGAGGAAAAACGAUACAGCGGAUCCCUCAGCAAAAAUUACGAAACAUGCGGUCUAAAUACUUCGCUCAUUAUAAGGAAAGAACAGCUCGAAUAUGAACGAAAAAUAAAAAUUUCAUUAAAAGAAAAAUACAUUACAGCAUGUUACAGAUACCUACACUACGGGAUGAAAGGCUACCCUUAAAGGAUUAAUAUGCCCGGAUACAUCAUCAUCUACGUUUACAUCAUUAUCACCUACACUACUAUCUUAGCUUUCAACUUUAGAGAAUCCUUAUAGAUCGGGAGACAAGCUUCGCAGGCCUGCUGGAUUCCCCCUUAGACAUUUCUCUCGAUCCAGCCGAGCCUAGCCACGUCACUAUAGGAGAGCUGAACGAGUUGAUUCCCAUAAGCAUCUCUCACUGUUCCGCCAUAGGCAGGCUUUCUAUCGCCCAAGUGUGAUGCACGAUACACUCGAGCAAGCCGAGGAAAAUCGGCGAGGUAUUCUGAAGAGCAAUGGAACAAGUGAAUGUUGCAAAUCUACACACAUACUAUGUUGGACUAAUUUUAGCAGGUUACCCUUGCUAAUAUUACGUGAGUAGACAACAUCUCGUAUCUCAUAAUAAGCCUAAGAAAUCAUGUUAUUCCAUGAGUUCGAGUCAGGAGCAGACAUCAGGGGCACCACGAGAAUCUCCUCCUCAUCCCCGGGAGAAAGAAAGAUAGGAGCCCGGGCAGGAGCAGGGGGAGGAGGUCGUCCGGACAACUUGGAAAACAUGAUUCUGGCAACUUGUCGAGUAACCUCCCUCGCCAAUCGCCCCAUUAGGAAGACAUCCGAAGCAACGUUCAAGCUCCCUAUGGUCGGCGUAAGAGUCUUAGGGGGCGUAAUCCGGUUCAUCUUUACCCCCAAAGGCUGCAAAAAUCACAAAAGCAAGGUUAGGACAGGCCCCUAUGAAAGACGUAGCAAAUUCAAGAGAAAACAUAAAGAGAGUAAAACCAGGGGCCAGUGUCCGAAAAACAAUUCCGAAACAUUGGAAAACCCCGUUGAAAGAAGGAGAUAAGAGAAGGAUAAACCAUACCUUUUCCACAUGACAAAAAAAACUAAACUUGCAUCUUUCAGGAGAUCAAUUGAACCAGAGGAAGGAAGAUCGGAAAGAGAGAUCUCGUUGUCCCGAUAAGGAGCCCGAGGAUGAGAAGGAGGUGUUAUUAAUAUAUAGCCAGAGGCUGAGAUUUUAAUGUAAGACAGGGCGACCUUAUACUCUAGGCUAGCGGCAUCAGAAUCCUUAAAGGCUAUUCACAAAAGAGGAAAGAAAGCGUAUCGAGAAGAUAAAGGCAGGAAAGUGAAGAUAAUAGUGCGCACAAAGAGCAGAGGAAAGCUAGAAAUAGAAAAAAGAUGGAGAAGAUUUAAAGCUACAAGUGACAAAAAGAUGAAAGGGCGUCAUGGAGCAAGCUGAAUUCAAACAGGCGCGGUCAUAAUGAUUCUUGAUGUUUACCCCCUCGACAGUUGGGGCAAUAACUGCCGAGGAGGUAAAGGGGCAAUUGAUGACCGCUGGAUUUUUCCACCCCAGUCAGGGGCCAAGCCCUCGAUCGCGGCCCAUCGCUCAGAAGCCCACACAUCCUCUGCACUAACAGGUCUAGCCCUUUCGAGCCUUGAUACCGGGCCCCUCCGAAUUUCUCAACCAGGCUAGCCUCGCCUUCACUGCACCUCGGGCCGAUCUCCUUUGGGCCCAGCUUUGCUCCUAUCUCCCGGCCCAGCCCAUAACCAGAAGGAAGACUUAUUUAUCUGCCUUGUGGACCCAUCUACACGCGCGUGAAGAGGAUCAGAGGCUGUUACGCAUGGGGCAGAGAUCUUAUUCCCUCGUACGUACGAAUCAACGUAGCAGGGACAGGUGGUCCAAUGCUAUACGUUCUGUUAGCACGUCACUAGCAGACAAAAGGAAACAUAUAAAAGGAGAAAUACUCUCCUCUAGGUCUAAGCUUUUUCCAGUUUUACAGAACCCAUUGUAAAACCCUAUUUUCUGGAUCUCAGAUCAUCAAAUACUAAUGAAUCUGAUCUUUAUGAAAGUUUUUUUAAUGAAUCCAUACAAUCCUUGUAGUUUUUUUUUUUCUUUUUUUAAAUUCUUUGUAGUUAAGUUUGGAAAAUUCCAUUGGUAUCGAAGAAAGUCACCUUCGGGAUGAAACAACUUUGUAUUGAUUUCCAUUGACAUUGAACUUGGAUUUGCACCAAAAUUUCCACUUUUUCAUCUUUCUAAUACAAACUUCUUUUGAGCAAUAAUAAUCUAUACUAUAUAUAAAAAUGAAAAAAUGUGAAAUAAUUGGAUUAACCGUAGUGCCUUUUAAGACUUUAAAUUAUUUAUAACAAUAUUUAAUUAUUUAUAUUAAUUUUAAUUAAUUAAAAAAUUUCAAAAAGAUAUAUAAGAUAUAAUAACAUUAACUUUUUUAAAUGAAGAUAUAAAUUAGAUAGUAAUUUAAUUAUAUAUAUAUAUUAUAAUAUAAUAUGAUUAUUAUAAAAUUAUAUCUUAUAGUAAAAUUAAUAUAAAAUAAAUUUUUGAAUAUUUGCAAAAAGUAUGAAGUAAAAUGUUUUGUAAAUAUAUAUGGAGAUGAUUUAUUUAUUGAUAAUUAAAAAAAUUUAAAAAAUAUAUAUAUUAUCUUACUAAAAUAUUUUAUCCAAUGAAUUAAUUAUAAAAUAAUGAAUUAGUCAUAUAAUCUUUUAAAAUUAUCCAAAAUCAUUACAUAUUUUAAUUUCAUCUCUAUAGCAUUUUAUUUAAUAGCUAAUGAAAAUGAUAUAAUUUUUUAUAAUUGUCCAAAAUAAUUAUAUAUUUUAAAUUUAUUUUUAUAACAUUUUUUUUUAUAAUUAACGAAAAUGUCUCUAUUUAUCUAAUAUUUUAUAUUUAUUUUUUAAAAAAAUAUAAAAUAAUAAAUUAAUUAUCAUCUAUUUCAAUAAUCGUGUUUGAUAAUUGAAAUAAUUGUUAAUAAUUUUAUUAGAAUUGUUAAUAAUUUUACUAAUAAAAAUUGAAAUAAUGCUACAACUAAUUGAUAAUUAUCUUAAAACAUAUUAAAUAAUAGUUCUCUCUUAUUUUUAUAUUAUUAUUAUUAUUGUUAUUCCAUAAAUCAUAAAGAUGAUAUAACAUAUGAAAAAUAUAAUGUUAAGUAAAAAUAAUAAAUUUAAUUAAUAAAAAAAGAAAAAUAAUAUUUAUUUUAAAAUAAUUAUGAUGAAAGUAUAAUUAUGUUUAUAAGUGGUAUUUUUUAAAAGAAUUAUAAAUGACUGCUAUUUGUUCUUCAAUAGACUUACGACAAAUAAGAUUUUUGAAACCGAUCUUGUGCACGUAUUAAAGUUUUAAUAACUUUAGGAGUCAAAAAACUCCUAAAAUAGUCAAGUACUCUAUCCCAGUGCUAAAAACUGAUUCUGAUCAAUAGUAGAAAUAAGAACUGCUAAAAUAUCUCUACCCAUAUGGAAAAGGAUAGAGAACCUAUUAGAAUUAAGUUUUUACCAAAAUAAUAUAUCAAAUUUAUCAUUCUCAUCCACCACUUAAAUACUCUCAUUAAGAUAGCAAUUCAGAUCUAACUUAUUUUUAGUUUCUUCAAUAUCAAUUUUAUGUUUCAAAAAUUAACUACUCAGAUUCAUCCUUGAUCUCUUUUUUUAUCCUUCCUCAUCCAAGUUUUCAGUUGUAAUUGAAUGUGCAUGGUCAUCAUUUAUGUUUACAUUUUCAUCAGUAAACAUUCUUUUGUAUUCAUCAAAUAACUCAUACAAAACUGAUUUAAUUUUAUGUAUUAAAUCCAAACGCUUUUCAUUCACAUACACAGUAGAGAGUGCAAAACUUAUAAAUUUCAUCUUAUAUCUAGGAUCCAACUGCAAUAUAAAUAAGUUUGUUCAUUUUAUCAGGAUCCCUCAAUAUUUAUCAAACUUCACUUUUAUUUUCUUACUCAUAUUUGCCAAAAUUAGGUCAUCACUAAUUUUUCACUCUUGUAAUAAACAAUCAACCGAACUAAUCUCAUAAAAAAAUAUUAGAAGUGAUAUAUCUAGAACCUAAAAUUUUUAAUGUAAGAUCAUAAAAAUAACCCAAGAAAUCUAUAAUUUUUCUAAUAUAGCCCCAAUCCAAACUAUCAGGCACACUAUCACAUUCUUUACUGGACACAAUAUCAAGCUUAAAAUAUGGAUCAAUAGUUGCAAAUUUAUCAAAUGCACUUUCAAAUAUUUCCGCAAUUCUCAACAUCAAAUAAGUGGAAUUCCAACCAGUGGAAACAUCCAAAGAUAAAUGACAUUUACUUUGAAUCUCCUCCAUCUCACAAUAUGAUUUGAACUUUUACAAUCUAGCAGGAGAUUGUCUCACAUAUCUCACUACUUUUCUAACACUUUUUACUGCUUCAAUGUUUUCUUUCAGUCUAUCAACCACAACUAAAUUAAUUAUGAGGGCAAUACAUCUCAUAUGAAGAUAUUUGCAAUUUAAAAUCCCAAAUCUCUAACCAUUGAUUUUCUUUGUUAAAUAUGUAACAGUCACAUCUUUUGAACUAUCAUUAUCUAUAGUCACUAUAAAUACUCUCUUAAUUCCCUAAUUAAGUAAACUCUCAACAGCCAUGCUAAUAUCAUCACCCUUAUAACUUCCAAUUAGACAAAAAUUAGGAAUUUUUUUAUGGAAUGUCCAAUUACUAUCAAUGUAAUAUGCAGUGACACACAUAUAAUUAAUUCUUUGUAAUGAAGUUCAUGUGUCCGUAGUAAUGUAAAUUCUCUUACUAGACUUUUGAAGGUAACUCUUUAAUUUCUUCCUCUCCUCUAAAUAUAAGUCAUAAUAAUCCCUUGAAACAGUUCAAAUGAGAUGGAAUUCAAAACCUAGUAUGUAUGCAUUCAAUCCAUUCCUUAAACUCUUCCCCUUCUACAAACAUAAAUAGCAGCUCAUCAACAAUUGUCAUUUUAGCUAACUUAUGUCUAGCCACAUCUUGAUCAAAAUGCCAACUAUUUAACAUGCUUAAUUGAUAAUUUCCCCCUCCCUCUUAUGUACUAGAAGGAAGUGGUUGUAAAAAUAAUUGUGAUUAUCUAGUAGUCAUACUAUGAGGUUUUUUAUGCAUGCAGACAUGUGAUAUCUAAGUGCAAAUGUGCCCUUUUUUUUAUCGGGUAAAACUCCUUUUCAUAAUAGUUACACUUGCCUUUUUGAGUUCUCGUAUUAUCAAUAAAUUUAGAAAAGCAGUCCCAUGCAGCUGAUCUUGGCUUCAUACUCUUCCUCUUCAUUUUGAAAGUUGCCUCUGUUAGGAAAUCCAGAAAUUACUGCAACCCAAAACAUGCAGCCGAAAAAUAAAAAUCUAUGCUUUCCUUCACAAGAUCCGAGUGCUUCAUUUAUUUCGAAAGGAAGGAUAAGAGACUAACCUGUUAGACUCGACGAGAAGAUACUAUUCCGAACUGAUGGUGUUGCUUUUUGAAACGAACACCCUCAAUGGUAUUCACACGAACGUCUUUUAUCCUUCUAAAGUGCUAGCUCUCUCAAAGAUGGAUAAGAUAUGUGCUCCUCAAUCUACGACUCAAAAAUGAUUUCUCUAAAAACGUUACUCCCACAAUUCGCAGAAGAGGUUUUUAUUUGCUUUUAGUCUCUUGUUUUUCCACACUUCUUUUCGUAAAAGAGUUGUGUUCAUAAUCAACUAUCACAAUCUCACAUAUACUCAAAUAUCUUACGUGAUAGUUUGUUUUAAUAAGGAAAACCGAAAAAUCUUUUAUAUGUAACAGUUACAGAUAGACUGCAGAUCUUUUAAAUAUUAUUAUCUUAUAAUAAUAAAUAAUUAAUAUUAAUAAUAAUAACAUCUUUAUUAUUAUUAAUUAUACUAAUAGGCUUUUAGCUCAUUAAUAUGACAUAGCACAUCAACGACGUUCUUUUGUGUGUGACCCAAUAGGCUGACAUUAAUUGGCAAUAGGCCCAUAAAUCAUAAGCGGCCUCUAGCAAGACAUUAUGACUACCCAACUAAUAUGAGGAUCGAUAGUCCGAUAAACCCUAAUAAAUAGAAUAUGUAUUAAUCCUUUUGUCAUAUCUAGUUUGAACAUAAGUCAUGGUCAAUGUCAAACUUAUAAUGUUUAAACUUGUGAUUUCUCGAUCUCUAAGUAGACUGAUAAAACCAAAUGAUAUUGAUCACACUAUCAUUUGAGCACGGUCAUGCAUUUCUCAGUCUCACUUAUCGAGAGGCCUAGAAGAUAUCUCUCUCAAAGAGAGGGACAAAUUCUAUCUUGAUUGUUCAACAUCCUCUACAUAAUUUCUAUUAUGCUCAAUCAUAACCUUUAUGAUUGUCCAAUUAAAGACAAUGUUUGGUUAUGUCAAAACAUAACAGUCCUUAUGUUGGAAACUAUGACAAUCUCAAGUCAAAGGAUUAAGACAUAACUACUUUGAGAUUCACUUAUGACAAUAAUCCAUGUAGUGAUCUCAAUGCGGGUCCAUCCAAUAUAUUGUUCUCUAACAAGUAUCUAUGAUUAUUGAAGUAUAUCAACAUAUAUAUAAUCAUCUCAUGAUUAUCAAUCAAUAAUCAUACUAGUCAUAUUUUAUUAUUAUCACCAUAAUAAUAAAUAACCAGGAAUGUUUAAUCAUUAUUAUGAACAUGCAAACAAAUAAUAAUGAUAAUAAAACCUCUUUUAUUAAUAACUAAAAUGACAUACAAAAAGGUCCAAGAUAAUGGCCUAGGGCAAAUACACUAACAGCCUCGGCAGCUUCAGUAUUGCUCGAAGCAACUGGAGGUUGUGAUGUAGGAUUUGAUAGUUUCUUGUUGAUCCAUCUGUAAAUAAAUAAAUUAUAAAUCUCACUCAAUUAUAACACUAAAUGAAAUCUAAUGUACACAGGAUGUAGAUUAAGGAAAAGAAUAUCAAUGCUCUGUGAUGGAAAAAGCCUCCUUAGUCAGGUAAUAGAACUCCUAUGUAAAAUUUUAUACUCAUGAUGCAUAACAAUAUCAAAUAGAGCAACAUAUAUAGAUGAUGGCAAUUGGUUAGCUAAUGCAAACUUCACGUUAGUAACAAUAGUGAUUUUCACAUCAGGUUUUCAAGCAUACACAAUGACAAGCUAAUGCAACUAGCCACAAGAAACUACCAGCUUCGACAGUCAAUUUACAUGAAAGAAUUAGAAUAGAUAAAAAGGUAUAAAUUGUUCAUUUUGUUUCGACUAGGUUAGGAAAGGAAAUUUCGUAAUCCUAGGGAUAAUUUACUAAAGCUCAUAGAUGUAUAUAUAUGUGUGUAUGUCUGUAUGUUAAAAAAUACUAAUUAGUAAUAAAUCACAUCUUGGUUUUAUGUGAUAAGUGGUCUAAAAUCUGGGUCUAACUAACAUGGGUUUUGCUUGAGAGAAAACAAUAAAUUAUUAUUUUGCUAUUGCUGCUAGUACUUCACUGCCUUUGGAUUCUGAUCUACGAAUGAUAAUUGCAAAGAAUGGAAUAAUUAUCACAGUUGCUAAUGAUUUUUAUGACACAGAAGGUUCUAUAGAUGAGUUAGAAAAACUCAGUCACAGAUGCAAUUAGAAAGUAUCCCAGUACACUACUAUGGUAAUUAUACAAAUCAAAAUUACAAAUAUUAAAGAAUAGUUAAUUGAUCAUCUUCUCCCUCUUUUUUUUUUUUCUUCUUGUUGAAUUUAAUAGAUGUGAUGCUAAACACAGUUUCAAUACCAUACAAACACAACACAAUACAAAUUCAAUAGCACACAAACAUAAAAUUGAAACACAAUUUCAAUAGACAACAAUAGCACACAGUUCUCUCAAUAGUCAAUACUCCUAAGAAAAAAAAAAUAUUUAGUUACAUUCUAUAGUUGACUCAAUAGGACACAACAGCAAUGGACGACAGAGCCAGAGGGCUGGAGGCACGAGAGCUAACAAGGAAAGCAAAGCAAUGGGGUCCUCUUGCCUCUUAGUCUUGGAGAUUGGCGCAACGUGAGAUUUGAGAGAACGGAGAGGAUAAAGUCACAGAGGAGUCGCGUAGCCGUGCAUAUCUGAAGAGCAAUAAGCCGACGAUGCGUGGAGACUAGAAAGCGACAUCGAGUCGCCGAAAAUGCAUGGAGAGCUAAGAGACUGGAGAGUAACACUGAUGAUUGCAUGGAGAGAGAGACUGGAGAGCAACAGAGGACUAAGGUGAGGAGUCGCGUAGCAGCAGCGUAUCUAAAGAGUGAAAAGUGAUGAGUUGACGAUGGUUGAUGCAACGAUGCCAGAACUCAGAGGAGACUAGAGGAGAGUGAGGUGCGAGAUGCGUGCAUGGAGAGAGAGACUGGAGGCUGGAGUGGACCGUUGGAGCUCAAAGGCAUUAAGGCAUAAUGACUUCUUUUAGAGUAGGGACUGUUAAACGACAUAGUAUAUGUUAGUCGGUUCGGUUCGGUCUAAAUGAAAUUUUUAGGGCCAAAAUCAAACCGAACAAAAAUUAUUGAUUUUAAAAAUUUAAAACCAAACUAAACCGAAUCAAAUUUUCGAAAUUAAUUGUUUUGGCUGGUUAUUUUGAUUUAAACCAAAUACUGCUCACCCCCAAUUUAUUAGGUUGAAGGGAUGAGUUAGUUGAUAGUUAAAUAAAUAAUUGUUGUAAAUGAUUUUAUGGUUAAACUGUAGGACAAUCAACCAUUUGAAGAUGUCAUUCACAUUUUAUUUGUCUAAUUUAUGGUUAAAAGGGUAAAUUGGUAAUAUAUGAAAUAUGUAAGAGCAAAAAACAAAGUAAAUUUCGUAAUAACAAUGCAAAACUACCAAUUUGGUAGUUAAAUAAUAGGAGUAAUUAUAAAAAACUACCAAGUGGUUUGGUGUUUUUUUCAAGUUUUGUUAUUUAAUUUGUGACAAAAAAAGUUACGUGAUUUCACUUCGUUAGCAAAGUGAGACUUUUCUAUCUAACACCGUUAAUAAAUGAAUAUGUGACACUUAAAAAUUAAUUAAAAAUAAUUUUUAAUUAGGAUAAAUUACAUUUUGAUCCUUAAAUUUUUUAAAACAUAUAAUUUAGUCCAUAUAUUUAUAAAUUUAGCUAUAAAGUUUUAUUUUAUGAUAAAGCAGUCUUUUUAAUUAUAAUUUAUUCCUAUAUUCUUACAAAUUGAUCCUUAAAUAUUAUAAUUAUUUACAAAUAAGUACUUAUAUAUUUUUAAAUUAAUCUCACAUGUUUAUUAAAUCUAAUAUCUUAAAUUAAAUUAAUAAAAUAGAAAUUAAAUCAAUAAUCUUGGUAUAAUUGUAAUACCCGGCUAGAAUCCGGCACCGGAAUUUCUGUUGUCUGGUGGAAUUCGGGGUGUUGGGAUUCUAUAGAUAGCAGGCUUGCUACGGGUUCUGGCGGCCUUAAGCCGACCUGAAUCCUAGCGCCGGUGACGGUCCAUUUUGGGGUCGUUACAAUAAUAUACAUAUAAAUUCAAAUACAAAAAUUUAUUUCUAGUCUAACUUUUCCCUUUUCAAUGAUUUUUUUUUAUUAAUAGGACAAAAAGGAGAUAUCCAAUUUUUUUUAUCUUAUUUUCCACAUAUAAAAUAUUAAAAUUAAAAAAAUAGAGAAAUUAAUUUAUAAAUAUAAGGACUUAUUAGUAAUUACAUUAUUUAGGGAUCAAUCUAUAAAAAUAUGUGAAUUAAUUUCAAUUAAAAAUAUGAAAUUUAAAUUAAGAAAUUAUUUUAUUAAUCAAAUAAAAUUUAAUAGACUAAAUUUAAAAAUAUAUGGACUAAAAUAUAUCUUUUAUUAAAUAUCAGGGAGUAAAUUGUAAUUUUUUAGUGAUAUUUAAUGGUGUUAGAGAAAAAACCAUACUUUGCUAACAAUAUAAAAGUAUAGGACCCUUUUUGUUUUAAAUUAAAGUAUAUGAUUCUACUUGAAAAUACGUUAAACCAUAGAGUAGUUUAUUGUAAUUAUCCCUAAAGAAUAUGAGUUUUCAUAGUUCUAUAAUCACGAAACUUAAUCACCAAAAAUCAUACAAGGUACAAUACAAUAUUUUCAAAUAUGAAUAUAUAUGGAACAAUGCAUUACAUAACCAUAAAAAAACAUCAUCCAAACAAGCUAUUAAUACUAUUUGAUUAUUGUUGUGGAUGAAUUCAUUGCAACAGUAUUUUGAAUGCUUUGAAAUAGCCAAACCAACAUAACUCUUACCUUUACUAGGCCAUUAAAUGACCGUAAGCUGUAAAUUUUUGCUACUGUUUAUUUAUGUUCUCUCCAUAUGAUUUCAUAACCUUUGAUGUUAGUGACUAAUUUUUGUAUUAAACAGUAGUAAUGGAUGGACAAUAUAUUUGUAUGUUCCCUACAAAUUAAGUAUUUCAUGAAUAGUAUUGGUUUAUAAGAGAUAUUCAUAAUAAUUAUUGUGUUCUCUCUAUUAGAUAUUCAUAAUAGGUAAGAUGUUAGGGCAAAUAUGCUUUGCUUGGAGUUGCUCAUUGUUAAUUGUUUCAUUUAUUAACUGUUUCAUCAUAAUUCUUUUCAAUUGAUACUAGGUGCUUCAUAAAUCAAAAUGGCUACAUGUAAAAUAUUUAUAAGUUAAAUAGGCUAAUUUUACAUCGAAAAUCAAAUAGUAUCCAUGGAAAGUCAUUAAAAAGAUUUAAGAACUUGUUAGUUCAUGUGAUGUAUUUUUCAAGAACUAGCUUUACUUGAAGUUUUUUUUUUCAUCAUUUUGUACAUUCUUUAAUUUCAUAAUAAUAUUAUAACAUAGUUCUAAAUGUGCACAUUGUAACGAUCCGGAAACCAGAAUGCUACCGGCGCUAGGAUCCAGAUCGACUUAAGGUCGCCGGGACCCAUAGCAAGCCUACUAUACAUCCUAUCAUACCUGAUAAAUCCCAUACAUGAUCAUACAUUUUCAUAAAAACUUUAAAUUUUCACAUAUACCAAACUUGACCUGUGCAUGCACCAUACUGUAAACAUAAAACCCCAUACUAGAGCCCUCAUCAAAUGCUCUAGUGGGUCAACAUAUCAUACAUCAAGCUUGGUUCAACAUUUCUUAUCAUUAAAACAUUUCAUAUAGAUCAUGUACAAAAGGGAUUAACCAUAAAUAUCAGGGCUAAGCACAAUACUAAUCCUCAAUACAUUUCUUUACAUUACAUCAUUUUACAUUUCAUUACAAUACAUGUCCACUAAAACUCUAUUACACAACAUAGCCAUAACUCUGCUGGCUUUCCCAUAGCUAUCUGUGCUCCUGCAAACCUGGGGGUUAGGGGAGAGGGGUGAGCUACAAAAGCCCAGUGAGCAGAACAAUAAAAACAUUUAAAUAACAUAUGCUAUAAUGAAAUGCGUCACAACACAAGUAAAUCACAACACAAGUAAAUCACAUCACGGAUGGACUGACCAAAAAAUCCCUCUACUCUGUGCCCGACCCUCGGUGGAGCUCCUCAGGACUUCUGUUACAUACAUAAGCUUUGUGCCCGGCCCUCGGUGGGGCUCCUCAGGACUUCUAUUACAUAGCAUAAUAUCUAGAGGGCUAAUGGGUCGUCCUGUUGUCCAUCUACAUCCACAAUGAAUAAUGCAAUGCGACAUAUUCAUGGAUUCUAAUGCAAACAACCUAUUACAUAUCAUGAUGCAUGAACAUGCUUAAAACAUUUGCUUUCUUGAAAUAAAGGACUAGUUUAGUUCCACUCACCUCUGGCUGACUCUGGACUAACUCUGAAGCAGCUAUCUCACUGCUGAUCACCUCUGUUCCUCAGGUCCGAUCCUACACAGGUGGACUCAAAUGAGGGACCAAACAUACUCUAAUAUGACUCUAAACAUCUCCCCAAAAAUCCCCUAAAACAUCAUAAAAUAUGCCCUGAAAACAUGCAAAGGAAGGCUGGGCAGGGCACUUUCGGCGGCAGGUUCGGCGGCCGAAAGUCCCUCUAGAGCCGAAAGUCAGGCACUUUCUGUAAUACCCGGCUAGACUCCGGUAUCGAAAUUCCUACCGUCCGGUGGAAUCUCGGAUGUCGGAAGCCUUUAGUAGGGUAGAAUCAUGUUUUCAUAAAAUGUUUUAAGGUAUUUCAUGGUUUUAAGUAAAAUGGAAAUGAGUUCUUGCAUAAAAACAACCUUGAAGGAAAACUCAGGUUCGGCCGCCGAACCUCAAGUUCGGCCGCCGAACAUGCAUGCCUUCGGGAGCGCUUUUAGGCCCCCGAAAGCAUAAAUGAGGAAAGUCCAGGUUCGGCUGCCGAACCUCAAGUUCGGCCGCCGAACAUGGCAUGCAUGCGGAGGCACGUUCGGCCCCCGAACGUGGCCUGGCCAGCCACUAUAAAAGGGUCCCUUAGCCGAAAACGGGCGAGCUUUUUCCCCAUUUCCGGCCAAGGUGAGCUCUCCGCUGUCCCUCACCGAUCUUGAGUUCUUUCCUUCCAAUCCUACUCGAUUUUCAUGAGUUUUUACUUUGUUUUGAAGAUUUUCAAGCUUUGAGCAAAGUUUUGGAGUUUUGAGGUUCAAGGGAACUCAACCCCUCCCAUCUCCGAGUUUAGGUCGUCUCUCUCUCGAUCUCCACGAGUUAAGAGCCGAUCUUAAGCUCAUUGCAUGUUUUAAGUAAGUUUUAAGUGGAUCUAUGGGGUAGAAUGCAUGUUUAGCUCAUGGUUAGGUUUAUGGGUUUUAUAUGUGUUUAUGAACAAUGUGAGUUGCUUGUUGUGUUGUAGUUGGGGUUUUUGUUGGUUUGAUACCCCUAGGAACUUGUAUGCUUGUUUGUGUAUGUUUGGGAAUGUUGUAGAAUAGGUUUAUGCUUGAUUGGAUAGUUUUGGAGGCAAAUGUGCAUAGAAGAGCUGAGUUUCUGCCACUAAGGGAGAAACCAGGUUCGGCAGCCGAAGGAACUUUUGGCCGCCGAACAUGCUUGUGGAGGCAGCCUUCNNNNNNNNNNNNNNNNNNNNNNNNNNNNNNNNNNNNNNNNNNNNNNNNNNNNNNNNNNNNNNNNNNNNNNNNNNNNNNNNNNNNNNNNNNNNNNNNNNNNNNNNNNNNNNNNNNNNNNNNNNNNNNNNNNNNNNNNNNNNNNNNNNNNNNNNNNNNNNNNNNNNNNNNNNNNNNNNNNNNNNNNNNNNNNNNNNNNNNNNNNNNNNNNNNNNNNNNNNNNNNNNNNNNNNNNNNNNNNNNNNNNNNNNNNNNNNNNNNNNNNNNNNNNNNNNNNNNNNNNNNNNNNNNNNNNNNNNNNNNNNNNNNNNNNNNNNNNNNNNNNNNNNNNNNNNNNNNNNNNNNNNNNNNNNNNNNNNNNNNNNNNNNNNNNNNNNNNNNNNNNNNNNNNNNNNNNNNNNNNNNNNNNNNNNNNNNNNNNNNNNNNNNNNNNNNNNNNNNNNNNNNNNNNNNNNNNNNNNNNNNNNNNNNNNNNNNNNNNNNNNNNNNNNNNNNNNNNNNNNNNNNNNNNNNNNNNNNNNNNNNNNNNNNNNNNNNNNNNNNNNNNNNNNNNNNNNNNNNNNNNNNNNNNNNNNNNNNNNNNNNNNNNNNNNNNNNNNNNNNNNNNNNNNNNNNNNNNNNNNNNNNNNNNNNNNNNNNNNNNNNNNNNNNNNNNNNNNNNNNNNNNNNNNNNNNNNNNNNNNNNNNNNNNNNNNNNNNNNNNNNNNNNNNNNNNNNNNNNNNNNNNNNNNNNNNNNNNNNNNNNNNNNNNNNNNNNNNNNNNNNNNNNNNNNNNNNNNNNNNNNNNNNNNNNNNNNNNNNNNNNNNNNNNNNNNNNNNNNNNNNNNNNNNNNNNNNNNNNNNNNNNNNNNNNNNNNNNNNNNNNNNNNNNNNNNNNNNNNNNNNNNNNNNNNNNNNNNNNNNNNNNNNNNNNNNNNNNNNNNNNNNNNNNNNNNNNNNNNNNNNNNNNNNNNNNNNNNNNNNNNNNNNNNNNNNNNNNNNNNNNNNNNNNNNNNNNNNNNNNNNNNNNNNNNNNNNNNNNNNNNNNNNNNNNNNNNNNNNNNNNNNNNNNNNNNNNNNNNNNNNNNNNNNNNNNNNNNNNNNNNNNNNNNNNNNNNNNNNNNNNNNNNNNNNNNNNNNNNNNNNNNNNNNNNNNNNNNNNNNNNNNNNNNNNNNNNNNNNNNNNNNNNNNNNNNNNNNNNNNNNNNNNNNNNNNNNNNNNNNNNNNNNNNNNNNNNNNNNNNNNNNNNNNNNNNNNNNNNNNNNNNNNNNNNNNNNNNNNNNNNNNNNNNNNNNNNNNNNNNNNNNNNNNNNNNNNNNNNNNNNNNNNNNNNNNNNNNNNNNNNNNNNNNNNNNNNNNNNNNNNNNNNNNNNNNNNNNNNNNNNNNNNNNNNNNNNNNNNNNNNNNNNNNNNNNNNNNNNNNNNNNNNNNNNNNNNNNNNNNNNNNNNNNNNNNNNNNNNNNNNNNNNNNNNNNNNNNNNNNNNNNNNNNNNNNNNNNNNNNNNNNNNNNNNNNNNNNNNNNNNNNNNNNNNNNNNNNNNNNNNNNNNNNNNNNNNNNNNNNNNNNNNNNNNNNNNNNNNNNNNNNNNNNNNNNNNNNNNNNNNNNNNNNNNNNNNNNNNNNNNNNNNNNNNNNNNNNNNNNNNNNNNNNNNNNNNNNNNNNNNNNNNNNNNNNNNNNNNNNNNNNNNNNNNNNNNNNNNNNNNNNNNNNNNNNNNNNNNNNNNNNNNNNNNNNNNNNNNNNNNNNNNNNNNNNNNNNNNNNNNNNNNNNNNNNNNNNNNNNNNNNNNNNNNNNNNNNNNNNNNNNNNNNNNNNNNNNNNNNNNNNNNNNNNNNNNNNNNNNNNNNNNNNNNNNNNNNNNNNNNNNNNNNNNNNNNNNNNNNNNNNNNNNNNNNNNNNNNNNNNNNNNNNNNNNNNNNNNNNNNNNNNNNNNNNNNNNNNNNNNNNNNNNNNNNNNNNNNNNNNNNNNNNNNNNNNNNNNNNNNNNNNNNNNNNNNNNNNNNNNNNNNNNNNNNNNNNNNNNNNNNNNNNNNNNNNNNNNNNNNNNNNNNNNNNNNNNNNNNNNNNNNNNNNNNNNNNNNNNNNNNNNNNNNNNNNNNNNNNNNNNNNNNNNNNNNNNNNNNNNNNNNNNNNNNNNNNNNNNNNNNNNNNNNNNNNNNNNNNNNNNNNNNNNNNNNNNNNNNNNNNNNNNNNNNNNNNNNNNNNNNNNNNNNNNNNNNNNNNNNNNNNNNNNNNNNNNNNNNNNNNNNNNNNNNNNNNNNNNNNNNNNNNNNNNNNNNNNNNNNNNNNNNNNNNNNNNNNNNNNNNNNNNNNNNNNNNNNNNNNNNNNNNNNNNNNNNNNNNNNNNNNNNNNNNNNNNNNNNNNNNNNNNNNNNNNNNNNNNNNNNNNNNNNNNNNNNNNNNNNNNNNNNNNNNNNNNNNNNNNNNNNNNNNNNNNNNNNNNNNNNNNNNNNNNNNNNNNNNNNNNNNNNNNNNNNNNNNNNNNNNNNNNNNNNNNNNNNNNNNNNNNNNNNNNNNNNNNNNNNNNNNNNNNNNNNNNNNNNNNNNNNNNNGUUAAGUAACAUAUGGAAUGUGAAAUUGUUAAUUUAGUUAAUACUCAACUCUUAUUUUAUUAUAACAUUUACUAUUAUCACUACAAGAAAAUUAGAAAUUAGGGACAUUGUUUAAGCAACAACGUCUCUAGAGGUAACUUUUUAGAGACAUUUGUUUAAUAAAUAUUCCUGACUAGUAAUCUUUUAUGACAUUCCUCCAAAACAGUACUACAGUUUAGGUACAUGAAACACAAUGUCCUUAAAUUGUACUUUAUUUGUGAUAUUUGUCCUAAAUAUUCGUAAAAGAUUAUUAAUUUUUCCUCCACCUACUUGGUAUUGGCGCCAAAAGCUCUAGAGAUGUUUUGAUUUCAUUCGUGAAAGGUAAUUUAUUUAUUACAUUAUGUAAAAUGUCUCUGUAAAUUGAUUAAUUUUUCCUCCAACAAUUUCAUAUUGACACUAAUACUUAUAGAGACAUUUCUAUUUCAUCAGCAAAAAGUUGAUAAAUAUUGAUGACCAUAAAACUACCAUAUUGGUAACUUAUUUGUGGUAUUUUCAUGAAAAUAUUUCUGAAAAAUAAUUAAUUUUUCUUACCAAUAACGAAACCAAAAAAGCCACAAUAUGAUAAUUUAUUUAUGACAAUUAGCGAAAACGUCCUUAUAAAUUAAUUAAUUUUCUCUCCAUCGAUUUUUAUUAGUGCCAAUAUUUAUAGAGACAUUCUUAUUUUGUCCAUAAAAGGUUAACCACUAGUGAUAGUCAAAAGAUAUCCCACAUUGAUAAUUUUUUUAUGACAUUUCGCGAAAACAUCCCUGAAAAAUGAUUAAUUUUCUCUUUACACAUUUCUUAAUUCAUUUAUAAAAGGUUAACUAAUAGUGACGAUUUAAAAACGUCACAUCAUGGUAAUUUAUUUGUGAUAUUCCGCAAAAACAACCUUGUAAAAUGAUUAAUUUCUCCCACCAAGUUCACAUUAGUGCUAAUACUUAUAGACACAUUUCUCAUUCAUUUGUAAAAGGUUGACUAAUAACGGCAACAUAAAAAGUUCUAGAAUGGUAAUUUAUUUAUGAUAAUUCGUAAGAACAUACUUGAAAGGUGAUUAAUUUUUUCUUACCUAUUUUUGUAUUAGCAUUGAUACUUAUAGAGACAUUUCAAAUUUGUCUAUACAAGGUUAACCACUUGCGACGACCUAAAAAUAUUACAAUAUGAUAAUAUAUUUGUGACAUUCUGUGAAAACAUUCCUAUAAAAUGAUUAAAUUUUCCUCCAUUAAUUUCGUAUUGGUGUAAAUACUUAGACAUUUCUAUUUCGUUUAUAAAAUGUUGAUCAAUAGAGAUUACCUAAAAAUGUCUUAAAAUGAUAACUUGUUUGUGACAAUUCUCGAAAGGGAUAAUGAUAAAAAAAACCCUUUGCAAUAUUCGUGUUUUCAAGAUAUACUUCAAAUUGUAAAAGUUAACUGUAAUACCCGGCUAGAUUCCAGCAUCGGAAUCCCUACCUUCCGGCGGAAUCUCCGUUGGAAUCUGGAAUUUUGAUGAUGCCAGAGUCUUAUAGAGGGUUAAAAUGUGGUUUCUAAAAUGUUUUUACAGAUUUCAUGGUUUUAAAUGAAAAAGAAUUGAGUUUUGAAAAGAAAAGAUCAAGGAGGCAUUUGCCAGGUUCGGCCGCCGAAAGUAAAGUUCGGCCGCCGAACAUGGGAAGGUUUCGGGAGUGCCUUUGGCCUCCGAAAACCUUGUUUGAAUGAACCAAGGUUCGGCCGCCGAACCUCAAGUUUGGCCGCCAAACGUGCAUGAGUUUAGGGGUCACGUUAGGCUGCCGAAAGUGGUUCAGCAGGCCAACUAUAAAGGGCCCUCAGAUCGGAAAUGGGCGAGUUUUCUCCCUAUUCUCGAGCUCAGGUGAGUCUUGGUCCUCCUUUGGUCGUUUUCAUAUUUUCUCUACCCAUCCCUCAAGUUUUUCAUGAGAUCUACCUUUGUUUUGAAGUUUUGAAGCCCAAAUAGAAGUUUUGGAGUUUGGAGGCUUUUGGAGCUUGGAUUCUCCACACCUCCGAGUUAGAGAUCGCACCACCUCUCGAUCUUCAAGAGGUAAGUGUAGAUCCUUGCUUUCCUAGUGUUUUACUGAAGUUUUAAGUAAGUUUAAUGAUGUUUUGAUGGUUGAGUAUGGGUAGAUAUGCAUGUUAGGGUUUAUGUGGGUUUUGUGCCCAAUGUGUGUUCAUGUGAUGUUGUGUUGAAGGUUUGAGCUAGUUUAUGCAUGUGGGAGAGUGUAUGCAUGAUUGGGAAAGAGUAAGUGAGAGUAUGGGUGGUUUUGAUGGUUUUGGCCUAUGUGGGUCAUAAGCUAUCUAUGUAUGCUUUUGAUGUUGUCUUUGGAGUUUAAUCAAGUUGUUAAGCUCCUUUAUGCAUGGUUAAGGGCUAAUGCUUGGUUUUAAGAAGUUGGGUGCUUGUUUUGGGGUGUUUGAAAUGGUUUGGGAGGCUAUUGGUGCAUGAGGCUGAGUUCUGGAUGAACUCAGGUUCGGCCGCCGAACUUGCCUAUGGAUGCAUGGAUUGGCCGCCAAACCUUGCCCCCGAAAGUUGUGCUUCGGAGCUGGAGCAGACUUUUGGCCGCCGAAAGUGCCUGACUUUCAUCUCUGGAAAGAGGGUUCGGCCGUCGAAGGUGCCCCCGAACCUGCAUGACUUUCUUCUCUGGAAGGGACCUUCGGCCGCCGAAAGUGCCACCGAAAGUGCCCUGUCCAGCCCUUUCAUGAGUGUUCUGUAUGCAUGCUUCUAUGAUGUUUUAGGGGGUUUUUGGGGAGUUGUUUAUGAGUUGUUUAGAGUGUGUUUGGCACCUCACUGGAGUCCACCUGUGUAGGAUCGGACCCGAGGAACCGAGGUGUUUAGCAGUGUCAGCCGUUUCAGAGUCGACCUAGAGCUAGUCAAAGGUGAGUGGGACUAAACCUUAUGUUUUAAAAUAAAUCAAAUGUUAAGCAUGUUCAUGCAUCAUGACUACCAUGUUAUGUAAUAGGUUGUUCGCACUAGAAUUCACGAAUAUGAUGCAUUGCAUAAUAUGUUGUUGAUGUGGAUGAAUGUUGGAUGACCCUCUAGCCCUCACUAUGAUAGGAUAUGAUGAUGACAUGAUAUGAGAUAGAAAGACCAGGUCGCCCCUGGCACUAUGUUUAUGUAAGCGAACACUAGGUGAGGCCUAAUCGCCCCUGGUGUAGUCGGACAUGUUAUGAUAUGAGUUAUGUAAGCGAAUACUAGGUGAGGCCUCAUCGCCCCUGGUAUAGUUGGACAUGUAACGAUAUGUAGAGGGCUAUUGGUGACAAAUUUAUCCUUGAUGUGAUAUGUUUGUGAUGUGAUGCAUUCCAUGAUAGCACAUUUUAAAAAUGAACUGUUUUCUUUAUGGUUUCUGCUCACUGGGCUUUAUAGCUCACCCCUCUCCCCUAACCCCAGGUAUGCAGGGUCGGAGAUAGUUCAGGAAGUCACCAGGCCAUGGCUAUGGUUAUGCUAUGUAAUAGAAUAGUAGAGGACAUGAUGUAAUGUAAGUUUAUGUAGCGAUGAAAAAGAGUUGUAUUGUAAAAUGAUGUUAUGUAAUAUGUUCAGAGUUAUAGUACUGUGCUUGGCCCGAGUUGGAUAAUCCCUUUAUACAUGAGUUUUAUUUUUAUGUUAAUGUAUGUGUUGGACCAAGUUUGACAUAGGGUAUGCUGACCCUAGGGGUUCUAUGAGUUCAGUUAUAGUGCAUACACAGGUCAAGCUGGUUAAAGGUAAACUUUUAAAUGUUUUAUGGAAAUGUUUGUUCAUGUUUGGGGAUUAUACCGACUGUACAGGAUGCAUAGUAGGCUUGCUACGGGUCCCGGCGGCCUUAUGCCGAUCUGGAUCCUAGCGCCGGUAGCAGUCCGGUUUUCAGGUCGUUACAUUAACUAGUAUACCCUAAAUUAACCAUCUAAAUUUAUUUAUACCCUACCAUUAACUUUGACGAUUAAAUCUAAUGGAAAUUCUGUGUCAUCAUCCUAGUCAGCACCAAAAAAUUAAUAUUUUAAUAUAACCCAAAUUAGAUAAUUGUAAAAAAAAAAUCUAAACUUCACCAAUUUCAAUAAUUAUAUUUUAAAUUUUAUUUUUAACAAAUAUACCCCAAAUCAGUUUUUCGAUUUGCUUUGAUUUUUAAUAUUGAUUCUGUUUAUUUAUAAUUUCGGAUUACAUAUUUCAUAGAGCUGAUAACUGAUAUUUUUUUUAAUGACAAGUGCAACUUUUUGUAUAAUUAUAAGUCACAAGUGUUGUAAUAACAUUAUCUUUAGUAAAUAAAAAAUUAUAAUUUUGACUAUCUAGAAAUAUAUUAUCCGAAAUUACAAAUAAACUAAAUUAACAUUAAAAAUCAAAUCAAGUCGGAAAACUAAUUUAAAGUAUAUUUGUUAAAUGAAUUUAGGAUAUAAUUAUUGAAAUUGAUAAAGUUGAGUUUUUUUAUAAUUAUUUAUUUUAAUUUAUUUUAAAAUAUUAAUUUUUAGUACUGACUUGGACGAUGACGUGAUAUUCCGUUAGAUUUAACAACCAAACUUAAUUAUAGAGUAUAAAUAAAUUUAAGUGAUUAGUUUAUAGUGUAUUAGUUAACUUUUAUAAUUUUGGAUAUAUCUAUUAAACUAUGAAUUGUUUAGAGUUUAUUUGGCCAUUAUCCCUUCUAAAAAAUAUUAGUGUAAAAUGAAUAAUUUUUGCUCCCCUAAUUAUGUAUUGACGCCAAUACUCAUUGAGACAUUUGUAUUUCAUGGUUAAAAUGUCAACUAACAAUGAUGAUAUAAAAAUGUCUCAAAAUACUAAUUUAUUUAUGAUAUUCUGCAAAAAUAUUUUUGAAAAAAGAUUAAUUUUUCUCUAAUUUUAUAUUGGCAACAAGAUCUAUAAAGGUGUUUUUAUUGUCUAUAAAAUUUUGGCUAAAAGUCCAAAUAUACUCUUAAACUUUGAAUCAAGGAUCAAAUAUGCCCAAAUUACUUUUUCGGCCUAAUGUGCCCACAACUAUCCAUUUAAGGCCAAAUCAAUCCUCUAUUGUCAGAAGUUUUGCGGUUGCACGUACAAAAAUAAAUUAAAAGAAAUUGAAAAAAUAAAUUUAAUAUUAGUUUGAUAAAGUUAAAAGUUUUUUUUUUCUCAAAAAAACUCUCUCUAUCACUUUUUUUUCUCUCAUUAAAAAAAUUAUUAUUGCUUGUAGCUACCACUCCUGAUUAAUAUUUUGCUUUUGAUGAAAAAAUGAGAUUCAAGUUUCAUUUCAAUCGUAGAUAGAACUAAACAACCAAAAUGUUAACACAAAUCUAUCCCGUUCAACCCUACACUAUUCAACUCAUGCAAAGAUCUUAGAUGCAAAGUGAAAUGAUAGUUUUAUUAAGACAUGAAAAUGCUAGAAUAAUUUAAGUUUAAAUAUGGGCUUAGUCAUAAAAUCACCCUAGGUAGAUGCUCAACAAUUGAUUCAAUGCUAAAGAAGUAGUGCAUGUGAUACUCUACUUUUUAUUGUGACAAACAUGCUCCAUUGUUGCUCACCAAAUGAAAUCUUAAUUAACUUUAUCUUGCAUCCACCAACUAUUUCAUUGUAGUCUUCCUAAAAAAGUAUGAUUCAUCUGUCUCUUUCUCGAUAGCAUUUAAUUUCCAUUGUAGAACUUGAUUGCGCUGAAUAGUUCUAUCCUUCACAAUGAGUUCAUCAAAGCCAGCAUCCCCAAGCAUUUGCCCAUAUGUUUUUAGAUCAUGAAGAUUAUAGCCUCUCCACUUAAUAUAUUUUGAAAAUUCUGGUGAUGUUGUUCAAGCACUCUUGCAAUAAUCAUUAAUUAAAACUUUAUCUUCAAGCUUCAACCACUUGAAAAAUAAUCUAAACAAUGCAAGUUUAUUUUGAAUGUGCAAAAUAGCAUCAUGGCUGUAGAUAACAUUAAAUCAGUUGUCAAAUUUAUUUUACGAGAAAAAAAGGGAUAGGAGCUACUCUAUUAUGAUAAAAAAUAACAGAGCAAAAUAGAGGAGGUGAGCAAAGCAAGUUUUGAUUGGUACAUUAAAGUCCAUUGUUAAAAAAAUAUUUUAUUAUUUUUAAUUGUAUAAUUAUUGAAAAUCAUAAAAACCUAUCGAGGGAUAUGCAAUCCAUUCAAAGAAAUAUUAUUAGAAUGGAUUUGCACAUAUAGUUCAACCAACAUGCAUACAAACCAUGAAAGAAUAAGCAUGUUAAUUUAAAAUUAUUAGUAUAAAAAAUUUGUUUCAAGACCUACCAAUAAUUUAUAACUGUUGUAAUAAAAUCAUUGACUUGGGAGAUUAACUGACAUGACUCAUAUAAAAAGUAUGAAUCAUGUUUUGGAUAUUCAUAUUAGCCGCUUUUCUAGAUCUCUUGUGCUAUUCAUAAUACCUAUUUUGUUAGUCCUGCAAAGGAUCUGAAAUAUUGUCUACGUUAGGUCUACUCAUGUUCAUUAUGUAGUGGUCCCUAUCUUUCCCUUUUUAAUAGGAACACCUUCCAAUGCUAAUUUGUUCAAGAAAUCGAAAUCGAUAACAAAUUAAUAAGUCAGAUAUUUGACUCAGUUCUCUUUUUCUCCUCUAAAAAAUGGUUGUAUAGUUAUUAAUCCAAUAACCUUAGCGACUUGAAAAUGUGAAGUAACAAUUUUGUUAAUUAUUAUGGAUUUAUGAACUAGUAAGCAACAUUCUUGUUAAAAUGUGAAGCAUAACUCUUGUUUGAGGAAUUAAAGAGUUCAUAUCUUAUUUUUCUCUUUUCAAAAGUUCUUUGUUGUUAAUUAUUAUAAAAUUGAUAUGACACUGUAGCCACUUCUUUUUUUGAAAGCGUGCAAUACACAUACCUCAUUUCUAAUAAAAGAAAGAGUGAUUUGAUCUUAAAUUGAUAGUUCUGAGUAUAAUAGGACUAACAAAAUUAAUUAAUUUAAGGAUAUAUUUGGACUUUUCUUCUGUAAAAUUUUAUAAUCAAUAGCGGCUGUAUAAAAAGGUUCCAUAAUAUUAAUUUACUUGAGACAUUUCUAAAAAAUUCUCGAGAUAACUAUUAAUUUUACUAAAUUAAAAUUUUAAUAUUUUAAUAAAUUAAGCUUUUAACAAUUUAAUAAGUAAAAUAGUUAAAAAACUUAAUAAAUUAAAAUUGGCUAAAAUUUAAAUACAGUGAAUUAAAAUUAGCCUACAUUUCAGAAAUUUAAAUUAUUAAAAUAUUAAUUUUUUUUUAAGAUUUCAGAAACUUUAAUAAAUUUAGUUAACAUUGGCUUAAGUUUCAGUAUUUUAAAUUAAAGUUUCUAACAGUUUUAAUAACAUAAAAUUUUUAAAUCAUUUUAAUAAAUUAAAUUUUAAUAAUUUGGAAAAAAAGUCAAAUUAAAUUAAAUUCAAAUUUUUUAGAUCAAAUAAACUUUUAUACCUUUAUUAAAGUCAAAUAAAUUUGAAUAUAAUAUAAUGUUUUUUUUAAUAGUAAAUAUUAUAUUUUAUAAUUUAAAAUAUAAAAGAUUUAGUAUUUUAUUUAAUAUAUAAUUUAAAAAAAUACGUAAAAGUAGUAAAUUUUUAAAAUUAUAAAAAUAAAAUAAUAUUUUAUUAUUAAAAAAUAAUAUUAUAUUUUAAAUUGUAAAAAUAAAAUUUAUUAUAUAAAAAUAAUACUUUAUUAUUAAAAAAAUAAUAUUAUAUUAAAUAAUAAAGAAAAGUAAAAAAACCCACAAGGUAUUUUUUUUAUUUUUCUCUAAAUAAUAAUUUAUUUGCCUAUUCCAUAAAAAGUAUACUAGCUUAAUUGAAAAAUAAAUAAAUAAAUAAAUAAAUUGAAGUUACUCGGGUCUCGAACUGAAAACGAAGGUUUGGAGGACCAUAUCGUGCGAGUCAAGUUUCUCUCCACACUCCAUAUUGCUUGUUGGUAAAGCACAAUCUCCAUCGCCCCAAACACCAGAUUGACGAGUAGUUGAUCUUGGAGGACCUGCGGCGCCCAUUCUUCUUCCUUCGCCCGAUUGCAACCAGGUUUGAUAUCUCACUUCUAUUUUUCUUUUAUUUGUUGUGAGAAAUUGUCCAUAGAUGAUGUUAACAAACCAAUGGCUGUUGGAAGAUUAAUGAAAUUCACUGUUUUGGAGGUCUUGUUUUGAUUUUCCAUAAAGUUCAAAAGAACCUAUAAUGCUCGAUAAGAUUGGAGGCACAAUAUAUUGUGGGUUUGAUUUUCGAUAUUUUAUUUUGGCUCAAUAAUCUUAGGGGUGAUGGAUUCUCGUAGCCCCCAAUUGUUUUUGAAUAAUUCUCAAUGUCCCUUAAGUGAUGGAUUGUUAGAGCAGUUUCUGGUGGAACUGAAAUUAUUGUCAUUCUAAAUUCAUGAAUCGAAGAUAACGGAGAGAGUGAAUUAAAAAUCCUACUUACAAGCUGCUGAUAUAGUUCUAUACAGAAGGAAUACACAGUUUUAAAGACUAUCAAAUGAUUAGGUAUAUGUUUAUUGACAGUUGAGAUAGUGUAAAGGCACCCAUUAUACUUUUAUUUUUCAUUUUCUUAUUUAUUUUUUGUCUAGCUGCAGAUAGAGGAUAACAUUAAGAAAAAUUCCCACAUUUAUUUCUACUCCUAAGUAGUAAAAUCCUAUGAGCUGAUUGUCAAAGUGCCAAGCAAAUUUGCCUUCAAUAUGUAUGUCUAAAAAUUGAAUAACCAAAUCUGUACCACCAAAUCUAUGUAUAGAAAACUGGUAGGGACCAGGAACUGAAUCUCAGUUCUUGGUUGAUACAAGGGAAUGAUAUCAGUCCCUGAUCAUGCAUCAGGAACUGGUCUCAGUUUCUAAUUCCUGGUGCAUACCAGGAACCGACACCAGUUCCUGGUGUGCACCAGGAACAAAAGUUCCAUAUGUGGCAAUGGAAUCAUGUGGAUUUAAUAAUAUCAUUGUUAGCUAGUGUCUGCAUUUGGGGGAUCAAGAAACUCUCAGAUUAGUUGUUUUCGACACAUCUGCUACUUUAAUCUCCAGCCUCAUAGUAAGUCUAAAUAUUCUGGUUCCAGUAAGUAAGCAAUUGAAACUUCUAUUUUAUCUUAUUAUCCUAAUUAAUAUCUUUAUAUUUAUAUUGAUCUGUUGAAUUUUUGAAGUGGGUACAAUUUUUAAACAAAUCUGACAGACAUGCUUCAUAGAUUUAUGAAAUUAUUUGAGUUCAAUUAAUUAUACUCUUUUGACUGUCAAUUACAAAAAAUAACAUCCACCCAUGAAUUACAAUGAUCUAUAAAACACACACAUUAUUCCAUGGUUUUGAUUUUUUUUUUUCUAAUUCAAAAUUUAUCAGUUUAGGAACACAAGAUUAGUUUAGGUAAUAGGUACCCAUGUGUCUAUAUAGUUUUAGAUCAAGAAAAUUCCUUUUGAUUUUUCUUUUUUUAGUUGAUGGUUAAAUUGAUAAUGCCAAGAUCCCAUUGGAGCUUGACAUGUUUUAUUUACCAUUUCUGAUGAGAUUAACAUGGAUUCUUUACUUAAAAGACAGCAAAUUCAAUGAAAAGUAUGAAAAAUGAGUUGAUUACCAAUGAGAAAGAGCAAAAACUUGAACCUGCAGGUUCCAAUUUGCUGCAAAAGAAGACAAAUAAGAAAUGACUAUAAACUAUAGAUGAAGUUAAAAGGAACCUUGUAAAAAUCCAAAACAUAGAUUCUAAGAAAGCUGUCUUUGCUCACUUGUUUUUUGGGGCAAUUACGCUUAACACAAUGGCUAACUAAUGAACCUAAAGCAUCAUUUGUUUUUUGGACUAUGUGCAUGGAAGUUGGUGUAUUUCAUAUUGACAAAUGCUUCUGUUUGAACAUCUGGACAAGACAAACAGAGGUGGAGGCCAGAAUAUUACUCAUUGUUCUAAGAGAAUUUUCUUGCUUUUGUCUAUUCUGAAUGUCAACUUCUGACAGAUGGUUAUCACAUUAGAACUAGUGCAUCCAUAGAGCUGCUAUUGUUGACUCAAAACUCAACUGAAUCAUUGUAACCCUCAUAUUGAGAUCUUUAUAGUCAGGGGUUGGAGGAGUCCCAAAUCUUUGUACAUUAAUAGCCAUAUCUUUUAUAAUGGAAACCAUAUACUUUUAAGCUGAUCUAUUAUUUCUCAUAUUGAUCAAUUGAUUUAAUAAAAUGAGUAUUAAUAAAUAGGCAACUAUUAAAUAAUAUGUAAGCAAACUCCUAUGACUAAAUCAAUUGUAACUAUUUUAUUAUAAUGAUAUGCUUUAGUGGGGAAAAAUUUCCCACAAAUCGACAGACUUUUAAUGAAGAAAAGUUUUGCUGCAAAAGUCAUAUCUUUUACCGGGGAAGAUUUUCGCUGCAAAAGUUUUAUUUUUAGUGGGAAAACGUUUCUCUAAUAAACUAUAUUUUUAAUGGAUCAUAUUUCCCCAUAGAAAAUAUAGCUUUUGUGGUGAAAUAAUUUUGCCACUGUGAUCUUUUUUUCGCACUUUUAAUGGCAACGUUGUGACUAAUUUUAUAUUCACUACAAAUUUUUAUAGUGGUGUAAUUCAAGAUUAUAAUGUGGAAAACUUUCCCCACAAAAAAUCUGUUUUCUUAGAGUGUCAUUUGAAUAGACGAAAGAUAGAAAUAAAAAAAUGCUUUGAGAAACUGGAUGAAAAGUAGUGACUUAAAUGUAAAAAUGAGCUUUAUAAAACAUUUUUCUUUAGCUUCAUGUCUUCAUUCCUUCAUGAUGAAGGUGGCUUUUAAAUUUAUUCUUCCUUCUAACUGUCCUUUUCCUCAGUAACAUCUUUUUGGUUUACUGCAUGAAUAGAUACCAUAGCAUGCAAAAAAUGAUUGGCAAUCAAAUAGAAAAACUUCACUUUAUUCUUUUAUUUUAUUCUUUUUUGUCUCAGCUCCUGUUCAGUUUUGUGCUUAAAGUUUAUGUGUGAAUCUUUGUUUAUAAUUAAAAAGAGUGACGAAUGCAUGAAGCAAUCCGAUAAUUUAUGGGUUUCGGUAUGCAAAGUAUUUACUGGCACUUGUAUUAAUCAAACAUUUAUUUGUGAAUUCAAAUGGUUUUAGGAAUUUUAAGUAAAACACUUUUGUUAUUUUUAGGGUUUUCUAAUCGUUUGUGGAGAAUAACUUGCAUUUGAAAAAUAAUUUCCAGUGGAAAAUGUUUUCAUUGAAAAAAAUUUCUAAUAAAAUGACUUAUUUUUCAUUGUUUAUUAAUUUAAAAAACAAAAUAUAUUAAUAAUUUUAUAUAUAAAGGUGUUAAUAAGAUUAUCCAAAGAGGAAGUCAUUUUCCGUAAAAUAAGUUAAUUUUUCCUUUGACUAGAAAAAUAUUUUAUGUGAGACUAAUUUUUUUGAGUGUCUCAAAUGCCAACAAAUGUAGAAAGCAUUUUCUUGAAAAAUAUUUCCUAGGAAACAGAAAAAGCCUUAAAAAAAAGAACGGAAUGAAAUGAUCUAUAUGUAAAUGAUAAAGAAGCUAUGUUUUUUUUUAUUUCAAAAAAUCAAGAUGAUCAAAUUAUUAAUAAGCCAAUAUUCAACAACUUAACUUAUUCAAAAAAGGAAAAAAAGAAUGUAAAUGUGAUUUGUCCAUAUCAAUUUGUUAGCCAUUUUUGGUUCGCAGGAUAAAUUAUUGUCACAUUUUUAUAUUGUGCUAAAAUUAAUCAUUAGUUGUUAUCUUUUUAAAGCCCAAUUAAAACAUAGUGAUACUUUUAAAAUAAAAUCCUUUAAUAAUUUUGUUAAGGGCAUAUUAAUUAAUUUUUUUUAGUUUUUAAUAUUUAUAUCUUUUAAUCUGUUGUAAUUUUAAGAAUCUUAUUAUUUAAUAUCUGUAAUUUUUUCUAUAUAUUAUGUUUUUUUAAGUAGGGGAUUGGGGCUAUUAGACUUGAGCCUGAGUCUCCUAAGUGAGUAAUAUGUCGUUUUACCAUUGGACCAAACCAGACUGGUCUUGCUAUAUAUUAUGUUAUUUCUGUAGUUAAAAUUAAAAUAAACGUUUUAAUUAUUUUUUUAAAAUAUGUAUUGUGUAAAUAAUUUUAACAAACCAUAGAGAGCUUAGAGUAGUUUAUCCCCCGCAUAUUACUCAAAACAAAAUAUCUAUUUGGUUUGGCUAAAAAAAAUCUAUUUGGUUAGAAAAAUCCGACUAAUUUGCCUCUUGGUUCAAAUCAUUCUAGGGUUGUACUUCUUUCCAACUCAACUUUCUCUUUGCCUCCGGAAUCCUCCAGAGCUCAUCAACAUGGCUAGUACCAAGGUCCAAAGGAUUAUGACCCAACCCAUUGUACGUUUAACACUUAUGCUUCUUGUUGUCUUUAACCCCCAUCUUUUAUUUGUGGCUUUUUUUUUUCUCCUUCCUCUCAUUUGUUGCUUUACUUUGUGCUUACUGGGAUAUGCUGCAUCAGAACCUGAUUUUCAGGUUUCUUCAAAGUGUAAGUCAGUUCUUCGCUUAUUCUAUUCUUUUACUCAUUUGGGUUUGCUAGGUUGUCCUUAAUUGGAAGCUUAAUACUCGCUUCUUCUUCUCUCUCUCUCUCUUUUUUAUGUGGUUCUCAUAGAAAGCCCGCAUUCAAAUAUGGCUUUUUGAGCAGAAGGAUCAGAGAAUUGAAGGCCGAAUCAUUGUAAGUUUUGCAUCUAAUUUUAGUUGUUUUAUUUUUAUUUUUCCCGUUAGAAAAUUCUUGUUUUAUGACUCUUGGUUUAACUUCAAAGUUAUUAUUAUUUUUCUAGUUUGGUUUCAUGGGAUAAAACUUUCAAUAUGUAUGCUAAUUAAAUAAAAAAAUUUGAAGGUUCUUAGAGGAUGUUCCAACCUUUGGUUUGCUAACAUUUCUUCUUGGUUUAGGCUUAUCCAUGCAAUUCUAUUUUCAUUAUUGUACUGCUGCGUUUGUCUUAAUUUUAGUUCUUCUUUCACUGGUAUUGAGAUUCAGUAUGCAGUCACCUGCACAUUGUCUUUAUUGCAGCUAACAAACUCAGUGACCUUUAUUGUAAUUCAUUCCAGAAUAAUCAAGAAUAACACUUUCUAUUAUCUUCUAACAAAUUCUCAUUUUUCUUUUCUACCUAAACUCUCUCUAUUCUUCUUUUUCCUCUGCACAUUCUUUGGUUGGGUUUCUGAGACCCUAAUGUAUCCUUGGUAUAGUGUUUGAGUUGGAAGGUUUCUUGAUUAAGAGUAUCUAGAAGAAAUGAGUGCUUUUAUUUUUCCAGGAUGAACCAUUCUUUGCACUAAGUUAAGUUUCUAUAAUCUGGGAAAUGGUGAUUGAUCUCGUUGUUAUUAGAAUUCCAUAAAGCCUAUGGAAUUGUACUAUUUUUUUUUUUUUGGUUUUCUUUCUGAUUUGUUGUACUUGUACCCUUCUUAUAUACACUAUGCCUUGCCUUCUUGGACUUGAAUUUGUCCUUCCAUUGGCAUCAUUCAUUUGCUUGGGAGUAUUGGAAUCUAAAGACUUCUCUUGUCUGCAUCCGAUCCUGCAUUAUCUGUCCGUCUGUUGAGAAUUUAAGCUAAAAAUAAAAAUUAAUGAAAGGAAAAGAAAGUUUUAUGAAGACACAUGUAGUUUUUUCUAUUUAGUCAUUUUCUUAUCUUAAUUAAUGCCAUGUUUGUCAAAGUGGAAAGGUGCCAAAUUGCACACAGCAAUAGUUAGAAAAAAUAAUUGUUUGACACCAAAACUAGUAAUUGACACUUAAAUCAACAAACAUCACUAUAAUAUCAAUAUUUCAUUCAUAUUCAUAAUAUCAAUAUUUCAUUCAUAUUCAUAAUAUCAAUAUGUGACAUAUAGAAGAACUAGGUAUAGAAAUAAGUAAUAGUUUUGGCGGGAACAAUUUUUUUAGCUAGCUUACUUGUAUAUAAAUAGCUAGAAAGGCCUAUUCAGGGCAAUCAUUCAUCAAUAAAGCUAACUAUUUUUCCCUCCUAAAAUUCUCUCUCCCUCUCUUUCUCUCUCAACUCCCUCCCUUUCUUCUCUCUCCCCCUCUUUCUCUUCUCUCUCUUUCUGUUAUUCUAGUAACUAUCACUAGGACUACCAGAUCUGUUAGGGAUUCCUAGCAUUUGGUAUCAAAGCGCAGCUGAUUAUGGCCAAACAUGGUGCAUUGGAGUCGCAAGAUGACCAGAUCUCAGAUUGUUAGUGUUGAUGCUGUGAAAUUGGCAGAGUUCGAAGAGCAAUUGCAAGAAUUGCAGGAUAAUUGCCGUCAGGAAUUCUGAAGAAUUGAAAGGAUUCAAGGAUGAGAUGAGGACCUGUAUAUGAGAAGAGUUGAUUGCGAUCAAUGCCAGCCUCAAGAAUUUUGUUCUUGAUGAGUUGAAAGUAUUGUUGAUCCAUCUGGUGGGAAAUAAGGGCAAAGGAAUUGUGGAAGCUGAGGGAGAAACUUCCUGUGGAGAAAGCAGAGGCAUCUUGCCCAUAUCUAGAAAUAGGGAAGUAACUCUCAGCCUGCUGGAGCUGCAAUUACAACAAAUCCAGAAUCCAAAGGUAAUCACCUCCCGAAAAUUAAGCUGAUUACUUUUGAUAGAAAUGAACCUAGAGCUUGGAUAAGAAAAUGUGUAAAGUAUUUUGAAGUCUGUAAAGUCCUUAAUGAAUAGAGAGUAGGGAUACCAAGUCUUUUCUUAAUCGAGAUAGAUAAUGCAUGGUAUCAUAAUCGAAAGAAAAAUUAGAACUCUUAUGUUUGGAAGGUGUUAAAAAAAAAAAAUCUGUGUGCAAGAUUUUGUGAGCUUGGAUUAGAGGAUGCGGUGGAAGAAUUCAUGAGGAUUAGGCAAGAGGGUAGUGUUGGGAAAUAUCAAGAUAAAUUUGAAGAACCAAGGGUUAGAAUGGAGACCUUAAUGCUAGGGUUAGAGGAACCUUAUUUUCUGCCUGUCUUUAUUGGUGGAUUAAGAGAUGAUAUUAGGCUUAUAGUCAAGAUAUUGAAGCCUAAAACUUCGUCCCAAACAUGGGAGAGUACCAAAUUAUAGGAACAGGUAGUAGAGAAUGGUAGAAAGCCCAAGCCAUUCAUUAAACCCUAUCAAUCAAAUCCUAGAACUUACAAAACCAACUCCUAUUAUCAAAACCUUGUAACCUAUAACAGGAGUACCUUACCUAAUAAAAAUUUUUCCUAUCCACCAAAACCUCCCAAUUUUGAAUCAUCUGAAAACUAGAAAGCCAACUCUACUCCUGCAAUCACUCAACCUUCCACCUCCAUUGUUCAAAAACCCUCCUACAAUAACUAACUGUCCACUCAAGUUGACAAAAUACUAGCUAAACCUUAUGUGUGGGGAGAGAUACUUUCUUGGCACAUAUGUAAAGCCCAAUUUGUGCUAGAUGUGUAGAUAGAAGAGAUUGAAAGUGUGGGCAAUGAAGAGAUUGAGCAGGGAGCAAGGAGCAGUGACUGCUGAGGCAGUAGAGGAGGGUAAUGAGGAAAUGACCUUGUCUGUUCAUGCAUUAAAGGGCAGCCAAGUACCAGACACCAUUAAGGUGCGGGCAUCUUACAGAAAUAGGCAACACAGUUGUAUGCCAGCCCCAUUUCAGCUGUGACUGUAGUAGAUGGCAGAAAAAUAGCCAGCACAGUUAUAUGCAAGGCUUUUAAUUGGAAAAUUCUACAUUCUCAUUUGACACGAGGAUUUUGGAUCUUGGGAGAUUUGACAUGAUAUUAGAUUGAUGAAGAGUUUUAAUCUAUCCUUUUUUACUUUGAGGGAGCUACAAUUACUCUUCAAAAGGAUGGGAAAUAGGUGACUUUGCAAGGGUUAACUGAUAUUAAUCCUCCACUUGCAUUGCUAGCUUGCAACAAUUUGUCUCUACUAAUGCAUAAGGGGGCUAACUUCACCAGUCCUAUCUUCUGUGUGCAGAUUCAGUCUGAGGAACAAUCAAUCCAACCCUCUGUGAAUUGUGACACUUUUAAAAUUGGUGUAAUUGACCUCCAAUCCUUACAAAUCCUCUUGGAUAAGUUCAGCAGCACAUUUGAGGAAUCAAAGAGUUGCCACCCUAUAGAUCUCAUAACCAUGUCAUACCACUACAAUCCAACUCUAAGCCUGUGAACAUAAUGCCUUAUAGGUACCCUUACUAUCAAAAGGAUGAGAUUGAAAAGUUGGUGUAUGAAAUGUUAGCAACCUCCAUUAUUCAACCAAGUAAGAGUCCAUUUGCCUCUCAUGUGUUGCUAGUAAAGAAAAAGGAUGGCUCUUGAAGAACAAGUUUCCUAUUCCCAUCAUUGAUGAUCUUUUAGAUGAGUUACAUGGGGCAAAAUUCUUCUCCAAGAUAGACCUGUGGGAUGGUUAUCACUAAAUUCGGAUGAAACCUGAGGACAUUUCUAAAUUAGCAUUUAGAACGCACCAUGGACACUUUUAAUUCAAGGUUAUGCUUUUUGGACUCACAAAUGUCCCGACCACCUUCCAAGCCCUCAUGAAUCACAUCUGCCAACCUUAUUUGAGGAAAUUUGUCUUGGUGUUUUUUGAUAACAUCCUCAUUUACACUAGAUUUUGGGAGGAGCCUUUGAGGCACUUGAACAAGUCUUUCAAGUUCUAGUAGACCAAAAUUGUAUGCAAACUAUCUAAAUGCUCAUUUGGUCACUCUUCUAUUGACUAUGUAGGGCAUAUCAUAACAGCAAAAGAGGUGUCUAUUGAACCAACCAAGUUUAAGGCUGUGAGUUCUUGGCUAGCACCUAAGAAUGUGAAGGUAUUGAGAAACUUUUUGGGGUUCAUGGGUUACUACAAAAAGUCUGUAAAGCACAAUGGGAUCAUUGCUAAGCCUUUUACUGAUUUGCUUAAAAAGGAUGCUUUUGCAUGGACUCUUGCAGCUCAGCAAGCAUUUGAAGAUCUUAGAAGAGCCAUGAGCUCUGCUCCUGUUUUGGUUCUACUAGAUUUUCAGUAGCCUUUUACAAUAGAAACAGAUGCUAGCAACCAAGGCAUGGGGUUUGUUUUACAGCAUCCUAUAGCCUUUAUUUCCAAAGCUUUUGGCCCACAAGUUCUGUCUUUCUUUUUAUGAAAAGAGUUAUUGGCUAUUUUGUUUGUAGUUUCUAAAUGGUGGCAUUACUUGGAGCAAGGGACAUUUUUUAUCAAAACAGAUCAUGAGAGCAUAAAUUUCUUGUUAGACGUAGGUUGCAUGCUAAUCUAGAACAAAAGGGCAUAUCCAAAUUGUUAGAAUUGGAUUAUAAAAUUGUGUAUAGAAAGGGAGGAGAUAACAAAGUUGCUGAUGCCUUGUCCAAGAGGCUUUCUUCACCUGAUCAGCAACUAUAUGCCCUUACUUCUACGCCUCAACCCACCUGGGUGCUCUUAGUCUUGGAUAGUUAUGAUCAAGACCUUAAGGCUGUUGAAUUGAUUUCUCAAUUGGCAAUAGAUAAGGCUGCUAUUACCCCCUUUCAAUUCAAACACGGGCUACUGUACUACGAGCCUAGAUUGUGUGUGGGAAGCUCAACUAACAUGAGGCAAUACUUGAUUUCCUUGUAUCAUGACUCAACUCUAGGGGGUCAUUCUGAAGUCAACACUACCUAUCAGAGGCUAAGUAAAUAUUUUUAUUGGCCUGGAGUGCAGUUUGACGUCUUGAAAUGAGUAAAGCAAUGUGAGCAGUGUGCUAGGUGUAAAAGGAAACAUUGUGCUUUACCAGAAUCGUUGCAGCCCUUGCCAGGUCCAUCCCAAGCCUAUCAAUAUAUUUCUUUGGACUUCAUAGAGCAAUUGCCUAAAACUAAAGGCAAAAACACUAUCUUGGUAGUUGUAUGUAGAUUUACCAAGUAUGGGCAUUUCAUUCCCUUAGCUCAUCCCUUCAAUGCUGCAACUGUGGCUAAAGUAUUCUUGGAUUAUGUUAAAUUUGGGUCAGGCCUAACUCACCCCAAAAGCUAGCUCAAGGGGGAGGAGUGCCUAUGGCCCAUAUAAGGGGCACAUUACCCCUUUCCACAACCGAUGUGGGAUUCAACACACCCCCUCACGCCCAGAAUUUUUACUGGUGCGUGACACAUUUAUGGGGCGCCCAACAUCAGAUGGGGAGGCUUGAUACCAUGAAACUUUGAUGAAAGGAAGAAAAAGAGAGCAGAAGAUUUGAGAGAAAAUACUUGAUUAUUCCCCUCAAGCCAAUUGGGGUAUAUAUACUACUUACAAGAGUACACACUAGGUAAUAAAAUAAAUUAAUUUUCUAAUUAUAGCCUAAUCAUAUCCCAAUCAUAUCACACAAUCAUAUCCCUAAUUACCACUACAAAUCUAGGCUAUUUACAGAAAUAAUCUCAACACUCCCCCCUCAAGCUGGAGCGUACAUAUCAUAUGCUCCAAGCUUGUUACAAAUAUACUCUAUUCGUGGUCCUCAAAGUGAUUUUGUGAAAACAUCAGCUAGCUGAUCAUUUGAGUUGACAAAGCUAGUAGAAAUGCAUCCGGACUCAAUCUUUUGCCUAAUAAAAUGGCAAUCCACCUCUAUAUGCUUCGUCCUCUCAUGAAAAACUGGAUUUGAUGCAAUAUGGAGGGCAGCUUGAUUAUCACAUAUCAACUUCAUUUGGCCAGUAUCACUAUAUUUCAAUUCCUUAAGGAGUUGCUUCAACCAGAUGAGUUCGCAUGUUGCUAAAGCCAUAGCUCGAUAUUCUGCUUCUGCACUUGAUCUUGCAACUACACACUGUGUUUUACUUUUCCAGGAUGUGAGAUUCCCUCCAAUCAUAAUGCAAUAUCCUGAAGUAGAUCGUCUAUCUGAAGGGGAACCUGCCCAAUCUGCAUCAGAAUAGCCAACAAUUUGUGAGUGACCCUUGUCCUCAUAGAGUAGACCCUGUCCUGGAGCUCCUUUGAUAUAUCUAAGAAUGCGAAUGACUGCAUCCCAGUGACUACUGUAUGGAGUUUGAAGAAAUUGACUAACCACACUUACAGCAAAGGAAAUAUCUGGUCGUGUGAUAGUGAGAUAAUUGAGCUUGCCGACUAAUCUUCUGUAUCUAGCAGGAUCUUUAAGUGGCUCCCCCUGUUCAGGAACAAGCUUAACAUUUGGAUCCGUGGGAGUGUCCACAUGUCUACAGUUUAACAUGCCUGUUUCUUCCAAUAUAUCCAAAGCAUAUUUCCGUUGAGAAAUUGCAAUACCUGUUUUAGAUUGUGCCACUUCAAUUCCCAAGAAAUAUUUUAGUUUCCCCAGAUCUUUAGUUUGGAAAUGACUGAACAAAUGUUGCUUAAGCUGAGAGAUUCCAUCAUGAUCAUUUCCUAUAAUGACAAUAUCAUCAACAUAGACCACCAAGUAGAUACAUCUAUUACCAUUAUAACGAAAAAAUACGGAAUGAUCAGAAUUACUUCAAGACAUUCCAAACUGUUGAACUACAGUGUUAAAUCGUCCAAACCAUGCUCUUGGAGACUGUUUUAGCCCAUACAAAGAGCGUCGAAGACGACAUACUAAGCCUGACUCCCCCUGAGCAACAAACCCUGGUGGUUGCUCCAUAUAAACUUCUUUAGCGAGCUCUCCAUGAAGAAAGGCAUUUUAAUGUCCAGUUGAUGCAGGUCCAGUGAUUAAUUGCAGCCAAUGAGAUAAGGAGGCGAACAGAAGCUAUUUUGGCUACGGGAGAGAAAGUAUCACUGUAAUCAAGCCCAAAAAUCUGUGUGUAACCUUUAGCUACAAGGCGAGUUUUAAGGCGAUCAAUUUUGCCAUCAGGUCCCACCUUAACUGUGUAAACCCAUCGACAACCAACAGUAGACUUACUAGGUGGUAAGGAUACCAGUUCCCAAGUUUCAUUGUUAUGCAGAGCAGUCAUUUCCUCAACCAUGACAUUACACCAACCAGGAUGAUUUAAUGCUUCUCUAACUGUCUUGGGUAUGGAGACAGCAGACACAGCAGAGACAAAAGUAUAAUAGGAAGGAGACAAACGAUGGUAACUCACAAAAUUAUAAAUGGGAUGAGGAUUUCGAGAAGAGCGAAUACCUUUUCGAAGAGCAAGAGGAGUAGUAGCUGCUGUAGUUGAAGGCAUGACCGAAGUAAGUGAUGAUGGAACUGGGAGGUGAGUUAUUAGAAGUACCUGCAUUAGGGAGAGAAAUGUCAUUGUUAUUAGCAGAUGGGUGAGACCGACGUGUAUAGACCUGAAGAGGUGGCAUAGGAGUGGGAGAUGGACACACUUGCGGCAAAGAAGAAAUAGGAGCCGGAGAUACAGGCAAAGCGCUAGGGACAAAAGUUUUGUGUGUUGGACUAGAAGAAAAGUAAGGAGAGGUUUCAAAAAAGGUGACAUCUACAGACACAAAAUAUCUGUUAGUAAUAGGAUCAUAACAUUUGUAACCUUUUUGAAGCCGUGAAUAGCCAAGAAAGACACAUUUAACUGAUUUGGGUUGGAGUUUAUCUUUGCCAGGAGUAUGAUCAUGAACAAAGCAUAUACAUCCGAAAACACGCAGAGACAACUGGGUGGUAUUCUGGUUAGGAAAUAGGACAGAGUGAGGACUUUGAUACUGCAAAACAGAGGAAGGCAUUCGGUUGAUCAAGUAACAGGCGGUGAGGACAACUUCCCCCCAAAAACGCAACGGAACAUUGUGAUGUAGGAGUAAAGUGCGGGCUGUUUCAAUUAAAUGUCGAUUUUUCCGUUCGGCAACUCCAUUUUAUUGUGGAUUAGAAGAGCAAGAAGUUUGAUGAGCAAUACCCUGAGUAGACAAGAAAUGAGUGAAUGAAGAAGAUAAAUAUUCUCUUGCAUUAUCACUUCGCAGUAUCUUAAUGUGAACACCAAAUUGAUUAUGUAUUUCAGCAUAAAACUUUUGAAAAAUAGGGAACAAAUCAGAACGAUUCUUCAUCAGAAAAAGCCAAGUGCAACGAGAAUAGUCAUUAAUAAAGGUAACAAAAUAUUGAAAUCCCAGAGUUGUACUAACCCGAUUUGGACCUCAAAUAUCUGAAUGCACAAUGUCAAACAUAGAACUAGCCCUAUUAUUGAUUCGUUUGGGAAAAGAAGCUCGAGUUUGAGUUGACAAGACUCACAUUCUAAAGAAGGCAAGGAAGAGAGGCCAUGAACCAAUUUUUGUAACUUGUUCAGACUUGGAUGUCCCCAACGACUAUGAAUGAGUUCAGCGGAGGUGGAAGUAGUCAAUUUGCUAACAGAGAUUAGGUUGUAUGGACAGUCUGGGGUAAAUAAAACAUUAGUCAAGGGGAUAGAAGGAAGGAGAUAUACGUUACCGAUCCCUUUAACUUGAGUUUGUGAACCAUUAGCUAAUGUGACUUUAGAUGGUGUGGAAGGUGAAACAAGAGUAGAGAAAAGAGAGGGAUUACCAGAGAUAUGAUCAGAAGCACCAGAGUCAAGGAUCCAUGAACCAAUGGGUAAAGACUUGGUUAGAUAAGUAAAAGAAUUACCAGAAUGGGCAAUAUUUGAUUGGGCCAUGGAGACUGAAUCUGAAUCUGUAUUGAGGGUGUUUUGAUUCUCAGACAUGUCGAGAGAGAUUCUGAAACAACAAGAGACCGAGUAGGGACCCGAAUCUGCAAAAAAGAACGCCUGUGAACAGUAAAUCUGACGACUGCACCUACUGGGCUUUGAUCGCCGGCGCCGGGCAGAGUUGGGAGAAGAAUCGCCAGCGUGAAACGGUCGCUGGAAAGUGGGGCACGCGUUCGCGCGUGGGUGAAAGACGUGUGAAGGCGAGCUGAUCUGACGACCGGACCUACUGGGCUUUGGUCGCCAGCGCCGGGCGAAGCUGGGAGAAGAAUCGCCGGCGUGAAACGGUCGCCGGAAAGUGGUGCACGCGCCGGCGCGUGGCCGGAAACAACUCUGCGCGUGGAGGCGCGUCUGGAGGCGGUGCUUCGCUGAAAAGUAAAUCAGAGGCUUGCAUGGAGAAUGGGCUGGGUGGUGAGACUAACUGAUUUCCAUAAAGUCACUAAAGCAGGAUGUCAGAUCUGCAACUCAAAGGUGAACCAAAUUUAUUGGCUCUGAUACCAUGUUAAAUUUGAGUCAGGCCUAACUCACCCCAAAAGCUAGCUCAAGGGGGAGGAGUGCCUAUGGCCCAUAUGAGGGGCACAUUACCCCUUUCCACAACCGAUGUGGGAUUCAACACACCCCUUCACGCCCAUAAUUUUUACUGGUGCGUGGCACAUUUAUGAGGCGUCCAACAUUAGAUGGGGAGGCUCUGAUACCAUGAAACUUUGAUGAAAGGAAGAAAAAGAGAGCAGAAGAUUUGAGAGAAAAUACUUGAUUAUUCCCCUUAAGCCAGUUGGCAGAAAUGAGUUUUGAAAGGAACCAAUGUUAUUUUUUUUUCUGCAUGGAGCCCCUACAGGGAUAAGAUCUUUACUAGCUUAUUUUGGAAGGAGUUCUUUCAGUGUUUAGACACUAAGCUCUAUUUCACUACUGCCUAUAAUCACCCUCAAAGUGAUGGCCAAACAAAGAGACUGAAUCAGUGUUUAGAAGGCUAGUUGAGAUGCAUGGUGCAUGACAAGCCUACUAUAUGAGCUUAGCGGAUUUCUCUUGCUGAAUGGUGGUAUAAUACUUUUAAUCACAAUGCUAUUAAAAUGACUCCUUUUGAAGCAUUAUAUAGCUAUUAUCCCCCAGUAGUUCUUAUGGUUCCUAGUUAUUCCUAAUGCGCAGGUAACUGUGGGAUCCUUACACGACUUACUAAGCCAAAGACAAAGUUGAAUGACAUAUUGAAAGAGAACUUGGAGGUUGCUAGAAAAAAAAAUGAAGCAGCAGACUGACAAAAAGAGAUUUGAAAGGGUAUUUCAGGUAGGAGAUAUGGUCUAUCUGCAGCCCUACAGAUAGACCUCAUUGGCUCUUAAGAGAACCUUAAAGCUUUUAGCCAAGUUUUAUGGGCCUUUCAAAGUGAUAGAGAGGAUUGGACCUGUUGCUUAUAAGCUGGAUCUUCCUCCCUCUUCUUCGAUUAACCCUAUCUUUCCUUCGUCACGUUUAAAGAAGAAGUUUGGAGAUAAUGUGGUUCCCAUGGUAGAGCUGCCUGGCAUGUUAGAAGAGGAAGUGAUUGUAGCUCCCCAGGAGGUGCUUCAGACUCGAGUGAUCUCAAGGAAAGGAUGGCAGAUACUUGAGGUGUUGAUCAAAUGGCAGAAUCUGUCUCCUGAUGAUGCUACUUGGGAGGACAGCUCUUUUAUUGUAGCUCAAUUUCCGGACUUUGUGCAUUCCUUGGGACAAGAAUGUGCUCAAGGGGGGUAUUGUUACAUAUAGAAGAACUAGGUAUAGAAAUAAGUAAUAGUUUUGUUGGGAGUAGUUAUUUUAGGUAGCUGACUUGUAUAUAAACAGCUGGAAAGGCCUAUUCAGGGCAAUCAUUCAUCAAUAAAGCUAAUGGUUUUUCCCUCCUAAAAUUCUCUCUCCCUCUCUUUCUCUCUCAACUCCCUCCCUUUCUUCUCUCUCUCUCUUUCUCUUCUCUCUCUUUCUGUUAUCCUCAGUAACUGUCACUGAGACUACUAGAUCUGUUAGGGAUUCCUAACACAAUAUUUGAUUCAGAAAAAAAAAAGGAAGAAAAAGAAGAAAAGUUGCCAUUCAUAAUUAUGCAUUAUGUUCAUGAAAAAUAACAUUAAGUGAUAUAAAGUAUUGAACUCAAAGGAAUGAAACAUUAUGUACCUAAUCUACUCAAGUUUCUGGCUUGAAAUAACCUAUGUUAUGUGUCACUCUUCUUCUACUAAUGUGCUUCUACCAUCGUCCUUUUACUUUUCUUUUUUGUUGUAAAAGCUGGAUGCCUUGUGCUCUAACAGAAGCUAUGGAGCAAAUAGAUGCUAUCAUUUUUUAUUUUACCAUUUGUAUCUCAUGCUUCGACACCCUUGCCUCCAAAGCCCAUGAUGUAGAAAUAAUUAAUCAUCUAGUAGACAUUUUUAAGUUGAAGAAGCUUAAUUUUUUUUAGGAUUUGGUAACUGUUAUACUCCUUGUUGCAGGCUUCUUAAUGGUGAGGAUUAAAUUGAGUCACGGAGCUUGAUUGCUUCCAUAUUUUUUCUUUUCCAUAAUAUUUAAGGAUCUCUUCACUCUCUAGUUGAAUGUAAUCAUGAUGCUACUUUACUGGUUGGCUUUUUCACCUUGCCUCGUGCCUACCAACCAAAUCUGACAGAAGCUUUAUCUCAUUUAAUUUUUUAGUGCUGUUUGCAGUAGAUGCUACAUUAUUCAUUUGGUGCCUCCUUUAGCACUAUCCUUUCUUGUUUUCAGUUGGUAAUUCUGUAGAAAGAGUCUCUUUGGUUCAAAGUUGUCAUGUAGAUUUUUUUUUCCUUUUUCCAAAGGUAAAUGGUAUCUUUUUAAAUUUAUUUGGAAAGAGAUAUAAGAGCAAUGAUGGCUUUUGCAGCAAAAAAUUUCAUUUUCAAUGAGGUGUCUCUUUUAAGCAAUGUAUUUGAUGUCUUAAUGCCUAUUUGAUGUUCUGAUAUGAUAUUUUUGCUUUUGAAUUUGCAAUAAUGGGAGAGUCCAAGAUGUUACGAUAUUUGAUCUGGUGAAGUGACGUUGGCUUUGAUAGAAUAAAGAGUAAAAAGAGAGAUUUUUGGAAACUAAUGAGGGAAGAACUGAUUGUAUUGAUGAGCAACAAUAUCUACACAGCAGGUUUACAAUCAGGUUCCUCUAGUUUUAUGGUAGGAAAAUAACACAGCAAGAAAACUCUCAAUACUCAGAUAAAAAAGGAAAAGAAAAUGACUGGAAAAUCCAGCUGAACUUUCCCGUGCAGAUGACACCACUCUGCCCUCUCUAUUCCAGAGAAUGCACUGAAUGCCAAAAGAUGCCGCUCCCUCUGCCCAUUCCAUCCUUAAAUGCUGGAAUGGAAUCUUCUGUUGUAACUAAUUCCUGCCAACUAUCUUUUCUCCAUCAUUCAGGGAGGCUGUUACAUGUUUAGCUGCCAUCUGCCCAUUCUGUUUCUUCCUUCUUCUGAAAUACACCUUCUAACUUCUUGGUUUGGAGCCUUCAUCCUUAUCACAAUUGAACUGUAAAGUAAGUAUUAUGCAGGCCUUAAAUUUUUACAUAAUGUUCUUAUACAUAGUUCUCUCUUUUCUCUUAGUGAGUAUAGGUGUGUGAUUAGUUUGGGAACAUGACUCUCUCAUGUAGAAGAGGUUCUAGUUCAUUAGAUUGAACAAGUUCCUCGCAUAAAUGAUUUUAAAUAACAGCGUAAUGACCUUUAUUUACAUUUUCAUUUUUUUGGGAGGGUGGGAGCAGGAUACUGUUACUGAUACACGCUUCAAAAAUAACGGAGGAAAAAACUUUUAAUGGUUAAUAACUGUUACAAUGGUUACAUAGUGGGAACGGAGUUCCCUUAAUUGGUAAUGGCCAUUAUCCACAUAUGUAGAUAGGGAUUCUUUUAGUUGUGGUGCAGAAGGGCAAAGAACUUAUUUUGUUUAUAAUGUCUACACUUUCCAUCUGUUAAUCUUAAAUUUCCCAUCUCAAUUUUUUCUUCUUCGCAGAUCUUCAUUCUUGAAUUAAGAUCAUCAAAUAGUGGAAGUUUAUUUGAAGGGUAGGAGAACAAUUAAUCUACAUUUCUAUGUCCAUCUCAGUGUCCCAUCCCAAUAUUCCCAGUUGUUUUAGUUUUAAAUUAAUUAUAUUAAUGAUGUUUGAGAAUUAUAGAUUUAAUGUUUUUUAUUUAUAUAUUUAUUCUUAUUAUUUAGUUGUGUAACUUAGUGUUAAUUAUUUAUUUAAAUAUCUAUUUAUUUCAUGAUCUGUAUAUAUUUUUAAAAAAAUUUGCUUUGCAUUAGGC